AAUGAAGUUCCCAAGAAGCAAGGCAGGAUAGUUUCAAUUGUUGGAUUUGGAGGUCUGGGAAAGACAACUCUUGCCAAUGCAGUGUACAAAAAGAUUAGAGCACAAUUUGAUUGCUAUGCUUUUGUUUCUGUUUCUCAAACUCCUGACCUGAAGAAACUAUACAAAUGCUUGCUAUAUGAUCUUGGCAAGAGCAUCAACGAAGAAACAUUGGAUGAGAGGCGACUCAUAGAAGCACUCAGAGAAUUCCUUGAAGACAAAAGGUACGAAAGCAUUCCUUUCGCCAAUUUAUACAUAUGAACUUUUUUGGACUGAUAAUUUAUGCCCUCUGUUCACAAUACUAUAAGUCUACAUAGGGUUAAUUAAAUGUUCAUGCACGUGGCACCUAUUAAAUUACAAAAUACAACCACUUAAGCUUUACCACAACAUUAUUAAGUGCAAAUAAUUUCCUCACUGGACUUAUUUUAUCCACAGACUUGCCAAUCCAGCUGCUCCCGAGCUAUUUUAAUUUAAUCAUUAAACCAUUAGCAGUGGUCUAGUUUGCUUAAUUUUCUUGUAGCUGGUAUAUGAACAACAUUAGAGCUUUCUUCAGUCCUUAAACCACUAUUUUUGCUAAUAACUUGGCAUAUGUGUAGGUAUUUUGUUGUUGUUGAUGAUGUAUGGGAUAUAUCAGUUUGGAAAAUGAUUAGAUGUGCUUUGCCUGAUAAUGAUGUUGGAUAUACUAUUAUUACAACAACCCGUAUUUCUGAUGUUGCUGAACAAGCUGGGGUGCUUACAACAUGAAACCUCUUUGUUUGAAUAACUCCUGACAACUAUUGUAUAGAAGAAUAUUUGGUAAUGGGAACAAAGACAACAAUGAAGAAGAAGAAAAAUGUCCUCAUGAGGAGCUAGCCGAAGUAUCUGACAGAAUACUGAAGAAAUGUGCCGGUGUGCCAUUAGCUAUAAUUACGAUGGCUAGUUUGCUAGCUUGCAAAGCAAGAGAUAAAAUGGAGUGGUAUGAGGUGUGCAAUUCUGUUGGUACUGGUCUGGAAAAUAAUCUAGAUGUGGAGAAUAUGAGAAAGAUUUUGUCAUUUAGCUAUUAUGAGCUACCAUGCCAUUUAAGGGCUUGCUUGUUAUAUUUGAGCAUGUUUCCUGAAGAUUAUAUAAUUGAGAAGGAUCGUUUGAUAAGGAUGUGGUUAGGUGAAGGUUUUAUCCAAUGUGAAAAAGUAGGGAAGAGCCUAUUUGAACUUGGAGAGAGUUAUUUCAAUGAGCUUAUAAACAGGAGCAUGAUCCAACCAGAAUAUGAUCUUGAUGACAUAAUGAUACAAGGUUGUCGUGUACAUGAUAUGGUGCUUGAUCUUAUCCGCUCCUUGUCAAGUGAAGAAAACUUUGCUACUGUACUAAGUGAUAUGGGAGGCACAUCUCCGUCAAAUACGAUUCGGAGGUUGUCCCUUCAGAAUGGCCAAGAAAGUCAUGUGAUAGCUCAAGCUACUUUCAGCAUGAAACAUGCAAGGUCGGUUGUUGUCUUUCCAGCUGCUGCUUCUCUAGUGCCACCUCUUGACUGCUGCCGAGUUUUACGUGUUCUGGAUUUAGAGGAUUGCAAUCUUUCACAAGCUAAUAGUAGCCUUAAGUACCUUGGGAAUCUACAUCACUUGAGGUACUUGGGACUAUUUAAGACAGGUAUUUCUCAGCUCCCGGAAGAAAUAGUAAACCUGCAGUUUCUACAGACAUUGGAUGUAAAGCACAACAAAAUUUCCAGGUUGCCUUCGAGUAUUGUCCAGCUAAGAAAGUUGAUGUGCCUAUACAUUAACUGGACUACAAUAGUUCCAAAUGGAAUUGGAAACCUAACAUGCCUUGAACAGCUGUCAAGGUUACGCAUUAAUGACUCCACCAGAAACAUUAUAGAAGAGUUGGACCAGCUAACUGAACUGAGGCAGCUGUCCAUUCAAUUGGACGAGUGGAACGAUAAGCUGUUGGAAUGCCUAUGCAAGCUACAAAAGAUGCAGGAACUAACUAUCACGGUCUAUCCUGGUCAACGCAGCAUCGGCGGAUUGGAUGCUUGGGUCGCCCCUCAACAUCUCCGUGAAUUGGAUACACAACGCAGUAUUAAGGAGAUAAAUGAACAGGUGAUGAGAGAGUAGCAAUAUCACUAAGAAAUCAAGGAGGUGUAUUGCAUCAAACAAGUAAGAUCAUUCAUCAAGAAGGAGAUGCAUGAUCAAGAUCAAGCAGUGAUCAAGGAGAGAGGAAAUAAACAGACAAGGAUUGAGGGUCUAACAUUUGCAAGAUAAGAAGUGCAAAUGAAAAGAGCUCAAGUUAUCAAGGAGGAUUGAGAAAAGAAAAUGAUCAAGGAGUGAGAAUAUUUUCCAGAAAGGUCAAGGAUAAGGCAGGAAUUGUUUAUAUAGUAAAGCAGACCUUAGGAAGUGACCAUUGCUACCUAGGCUUACGUCCUACAGUCGAUACGGCUCUGAUACCACUUCUGUCACACCCGGUUUUAAGGACAAAACCAAGUGCUACCUAUAUGUAUGCCAGGAUCAAGUUUCAUACAUAUAGUGACAUCAUUAGUGAAUAACAGCAACAGUAUCACGUAAAAAGAUACAAAGACUUACGAAACCAUCAGAGAUAUACAGCUUAAUUAUGGAAACGGAGGCUCCAAACUUCACAGGCAAUCGACUGGGGGUUGCGUACGCCUAGAACUCAGCAUCAUCUUCGGAACAACUUCAUAGCAGCUUCUUCUUCUGAGCAAUGUUGUUUAUAGCAAGGGUGAGCACUUGUCGUACUCAGCAAGUGUGAGGAGAAUAUGAAUGCAAGGGUUAAACAAGGAAAGGCUGACUGGUUGACUGCAUUAAGCAUUUUUAGUUGGUCAAAUUUUAUUAGCACCAGAUUACUAAGGUAUAAGUAUAUACCAACCCACAAUUAAUAGAAACAUAAACAUAAGCCAUAAGCAUAUGGCACAACCAUAACCAUAGCAUAAACCACAAUUUAAAUCCAUCUUCAAGUAUAUUACUCAUGUGAGGGUCCAGGCCGCUCUUAACCGUGAGCACGGCUGAUCGAUCAGUUUUACACUCUGCAGAGGUCGCACAUCUUUACCCACAAUUCGCGUAAAAGCUCAAAAGAACUUUAGACCCAACCACGCUUGUGCUGAUCAGGCACAAUACCACACUUCCGAGGUGUGAUUGCAUAGGGACGCUACGAGGCCUUUACAAAGAUUCAUUAGUCAGUGGUAACCCGCUAAGGUUUCGGUGUCUGGCGUGCACCACCCAUCCCAGGUAAAAUGCAACGACUCAGUCCCCCCUCUUGCCUCAUCACGAGUAAGGUCACCCCAGACUAAGGUUUCUAAUUAUUCAGCCAAGACCAGAGCCAUUUAGUCUUGUGGUAGCACUGUUUUCCUGGGUGGUCGCUCCAUGUUCCAAUUAAAUAUUGUAAUCUUGUAUUAACAAAAGGUAUAUCAUAAAUAGAAUAAGUUCACCAUGUUGUUCAUUAGAACCACCAUAACCCAAGUAUAGCAGCUAAGCAUAGCUACCCAACAGAAAGGUAAACCCAGGUUGGCAAGGAAUAAUCAUAAAAACUAGGCAAACCUUAAUAGGACCCAACAAAUUUAAUGCAAGCAUGUGCAAUAGUGAUUAAAUAAAGUUAUUAGGACAAAAGUACAAGGACACACUUGCCUUUCUCCAGCGACAAGUUACUUCUUACUGCUCUUCGGCUCUUGCUCUCUUGAAACUCUUAAUCUUCAAAGCUUUCGAACAGCGAUCCUUCUACUCGAAGCAAUCACCGGCACAAUCAUACAAGUAAACAAACAAAUACAACUAAGAGCAGUACACCAAAACAAAAGGAAAGCUUUAAAAGAGCGUACUAACGACAAGGCUCGAUCUAAGGUCACGCGAACGUAAGGAACGCUUAAAACGGAACUAUGGUUGAAAAGAUAAAGCUAUCGAGAGUUUUGAAUUAUAAAAGAAAGAUAAGAGCUACAAGCUUUAUUUAUUUUAGUUGAGAAAAGCAAUGUAAAGAUAUUUCAGAGAAAUAUCCUUAGUUAGAAUUAAUCAAGUCAUAUUUAUAUUUUCAUGAGAAAAGACGGUGUAAAGCUUACUCCAAUUUUAUUUAUAAAUAUUUGAGUACAAUUUAUGCAAAUUAAACAUUUAAUUUAAAAAUAAGAUACAUGUAGACAUCUAAGCGUAUAGCUUUACAUCUCGAGUUCAACUAAGUAGAUUAAAUUAAAAACACAUUUAUAUUUAUAUAAGCCAAAUUAAUAUUUAAUUAUGAAAACUCGAGAUAUAACCUAUACAGAUUUUAUUUAGAAAACAAAUUGAAUAAACAUUAAUCAAAUUGAAUUUAAUUUAUGAAACGCCGAGGUAUAACUCUUAGUGGCUUUUAAUUGGAAGAAUUAUUUAGAUAGGCAUUAAUCCAAUUAACUUUAGUUUAUGAAAAACCGAUAUAUAACCUAAUUGGCUUUUAUUUAGAAGAGGGUAUGAAGUAGGCAUUAAUCAAAUUAACAAUUAUUAUGAAAAACGAUGUUUAACACUAAAUAGAUUUUAUUUAGAGAAGAACUCGUUUGUCAGGCAUUAAUCAAUUUUAAUAUAAAUUUUAUUUUCAAAAACAUGUGUGAAGGAAAACAUUACCACUAACGUGUAAUUUACAUCAUUAUGAAUCUAACGCAACUUGAACGGACGAAAACGGAAUUAAAACGUAGAAUCUAUGGGUUAAACAACGUUGCAGGGGUCUAAACGUAAUUAACCGUAGACUUGGAGGGUUAGCAAGGAAAAUUACCAAGACUCAGAGAAUAGUCACUGCGAAUAGAUGGAUCUUCGGGGUUAGAUCUGCAAAAGAGGAUGGCUUGGAUCAGAUUGCAAGGAGCUGAAAGUUACAGGGGGUUUUCUACAAGGUUUGAAAGACACAAGAAAUAAGCUGAAAAUUUGAGUUUUCCUCAGGGGCCUAAGAGCAAAAUCACCAUCAUCUUCAACCUUCCAACGCACUCCAACUGACUGGUAACAUGUUGGCCAUAGACCGUGGUCUAGGCCGGUCCUGCCGGCGGCGACGGCCGUGGCUGGGGCGGCUUGCGCGAGCGGCGGGUGGAUGCGCCAGCAGGGAGGCUCGGCCGGCGGCUCCGGCGGCGCAGGCGGCGGCGCAGGCGGCGGCGCAGCGUGCAGGCGGCGGGCGGACGAACGGACCAGGCGUGCUGGCCCAAGUUGCGUACAGAAACAGGAUGGAUGGAGAGAGAGAAAGAGUGGAUAGCCGGAAACGAAGCCCGAUCUCGCGCAUGAACGGCAAAAUGGAACGAUAUCGACGAGACGAACAAGAUGGUGUGCUCACCUUCGGCCAGAGAUGAACAAUGGCGGUGGAAAAGCUCGCCGGAGUUGGGGAAGACGACGGAGCCGACAUCGGAUUCAUGCAAUCCACCACACCAUGGCGUAGAGCUCGAAGAGAGGAACUCCAUGGUGGUGUCGGUUUUCGCCGGAAGUCCACGGUUUCGCCGGAAAAGCUCGCCGGAGUUUGACGAAGACCGAACUUUGACUUCAGAUCUACGGAGUUAGGAGAUGCAACUCGUGAAAAGGUUUUCAGAUCUGAAAUCCUCGCGUCGAGACGAACGCGGUGAUAUAUAUAUAUAGGCCACACUCGGAAAAAGAUAUUUUCGAGUUGACUUUUUAUUUUCGGAAUUUCUGAUUUUAUUUAUCUGCGCGAAAACAAUUCCAGAAAUAGCUGGACUCGUUUUCUAGAGCGAGAAAGAUACCUAGAAAAUUCCGAAAAAUCUGAGAUAAAUCUCAGAGAUGGAUUGGGAUGCAAGGAAUCCAAAUAAAAUACUUGGAGCUCGUGAAAAGGAUUUUAGAACCUUCCAAAAAUUGGAUUUAGCUCUAGGAAAAGGAGAAUAAAUUCCAAAAAAAGAUGGAAAAUCCUCCCAAGGGUCUGGGCAACGUCUAAACGCAUUUUUCAAACUUUUGCGCUUAAGAAACACCAAGAUGCAACGACAUGAAUGCACAGACAUAGAACAACAUUAUUUAAUUUAGAAAAGCAAACAAUUAUUUUUUUCCUAUACUAAAUUUCCUGUAAAGAAAAAAAAAUAAAUGUUGGGAAAAUUUUAAAAUUAUGAGAAAAUUAUUGUUUAUUUAUUCUUUUUAUUCACAUCCUGAAAUUCAGAAAUUUCAGGGUGUGACAGAAAAGUUAAAGAUUAUAAAUGUGGAUGAAAAUAUUAUAGAGUAAUUACUAACUAAAUCUAUCACAAUUGGAUGAAGAUAAUAAGUAUAUAUAUCUAUUGUGUUUGAAUAUUUAACAAAUGAGAGGUAGCUUAUGGUAAUAUUUUUUAGCAAUGUAGUCCCAUUUUUUUUUCCAUUGGAGACUCCGCAUUAGUUCCCAUCAGACAAGCUAGAAAAAAAAAGAGACAAAUUCUCAUAAAAAUCAAAAACAUCAAACACCAAUCCUGUAAAAUCUAAUAAUCAUAGCCAUUGAUCUAUUAUAUUUUCUAAAAAGUUACCCACCACUAUCAUUGUGAAAAUAUUCAAAAAUGAGCUCUAAACCUAUAUCUAAAUUACCGAGCUCAGCUAUUAUAAAAAAUAAUCUAAAGUAAUCCCAUAAUCUUCAUCCAAUUUACUAAUACAUAUCAUUAUAAAGCAUAAAUUAAAAUGUCAUUCUAAAAUUUUAUCUAUACUACCCACGUAAGUUGUUUUUAAAAAUAACCUAAAUUAAACAUCUAAAUCUUAAUCUAAUUAUAUUCAUGUGCAUCAUACAUAAAUGUCAAAAAUAAACUAAUAUAUGAUUCUAAAUUACCUAUUUAUGUCAUUAUUAAUAUAAAAAUACUAAGUUAAAGUAUAUACACACGAUGAGUGUCACCAUUUAGACCAUUUAUACAUGUACGUGAGGAAUCGAUGAAAAAUAUUGAUUUGUAUGCUAAACAUAAUGUAUGGAGGAUUGGAGGUGCGAUACAAAAUGGAAAAAGUAUGAAUAUGGAUGAAAAAGUGCAUAGAGUAAUUAUUAAUUAAAAAUCAAUCACAAUCGGAUAAAGAUAGGUACAUAUCUAUAUAAGUAUUAUGUUGACGUAUUGAAAAAAAUAAGAGAGUAGUAGGUAAUCAAUUUUGAUUAUUAGCUAGGAGUUUAAUUUGUAAAUAAUUUUCAAAUACAAUAGCUUCUAAAAAUAUUAACCCGUGCGGGAGCACGGGUUGAUGGACUAGUGGUGUCUAAUUGUGGCAGAUAAAUAACUCCAACUCUUUCGAGAACUCCAACCCUCUGUCUUCCUCCGAAGUGUAUAUGUAUACAUACACAUUUAACAGCUUCAAUGGGUGUGGCUACAGAGUCGCCGAUCAAGAACUAGAUCAUUUUCUUCCUGUUUAGUGACUACCUGACAGACUGAACUAUGAAGUCUGAACAGGCCAGUUCUGACAGACCUCAGAGCUUCAAAAUCAGAUUUUCAGCGUGCUUUCGUCAUUUGCCAGUAGCGAUGCUUGAAGGAAAAAGUAACAUCAAAACAUUUUAAAGUGAAACAUUUUCUUUUCACAAAAGAAUAACAAGCUAAACCUCACAGGCCAUUCGGGGGAAGCUAGAGGAUGCAAGGGAAAAAGGGGGACGCAAUGGAGGAGGCGAAUUCCGGUGACGCUAACACCGAGCGAGACGCUGGUGGUGGGCCGGAACGAACGCGUCCAGGUCGAAAUCUUUUUACUACAAGGUGCCUUCAAUUCAGUUCAUCCCCUUCUCCAUUUCCUUCAUGCGCGACAUUGGCACCCGGCAAACAAAAUCACUGAUGCAUCGUGAAAAAAGCUCAUGACUCCGGGAGGCAUUCAUGAUACAUGGAUGAUUUUUGAACAGUUGUUGGGAUCGCUUGGCACCGCUUGUAGGCGUGUUAUAUAUACACUCUGCCAUGCCUUAAGUACAGAGUAACCUGCGUUUUCUCUUUCAAGCAGUUAGCUAGUCUUUGAACUAUAUGAAGCAUUGGAGGAAACCAAAUUACGAGCUUUGACUUUUGUAGCUGAACGCAUCCACAAAUUUGGUGAGGCAUAUGGGCACAUUCAGACAAUCUUUGAUCUUGAUCACUUUCGGCCUGUACAAAUCUUUUCUCUUUCACACAAUUCCAAACACGAAGAACCAGUGAAGACUUUGUAUAUACGAUGGUAUAAGCCAUAAUGGUGCGUAUCGUUAUCGUGGUCCAUGUUGCUAAUGGUAUACAGAAGUUCAAUUUAUUGGUACAAGUGGCCAUGAUGUAUUUGUGAAAAGAGCAUCCUGUUCUUGCUGACUUCAUUGAUAACACGAUCAGGUUCGCUAUUUGGAUGUGUCGAUCGUGACCGGACUUCAGAAUGCUACCUUCCUUUGUUAGGCGUGUUACAACUUACAAGAACUGUAAAGAAGAAAUAGAAACUCAGUUAACAUCAUAUCACAUACAAUGAAUCACAUCUCAUCGACAGAUAUUUGUCUGAGCUUCUCUUCAUCUCCGCUACGGCAUUGCACCCAGCAGCCUUCUACAUGGCGUUUAUGUUUUUUGUCCUGUGAUUCUAUAAUGGAUGAAGAACCGGUUACAGGUGAUCCUCGGAAGGUCACCUGAGCUUUUCCUUAAGGCCCGUCGAAUGAAUUUGUCCGCGUGCUCCUCAUGCUCCCUCGACGCACGCAUCCACGUCCAUCCCGGCCGGCGAUCACCGGUCAUAUAAGCUGAUUAGGCUGAUAGCUAUAUGAUUGAAGCGACGGCAGCACAAACUCGGGCGAGGGACGGACUCUGUUAUCGAGCGUCAACCAUCAUCGUUUACAUGUUGUUCAGAAUUCAGUCAUAUGGUUCAGUUCACUUCUUGGUUGUCAGGUAUUUCCGGGAGGCAAAAACUGACUAGACUCACUGAAGCAUGUACGCAUAGUGCCAUCUGUUCAUCACAUCAGUGGGAGGUCCUGAAAGGGAGUUUAGAUAGAAGAGAUUAAAAUUACAUUGUUUGUUUGGUGGGAAUGGGAGUUUUAAUGGGAUGAGGAAUAGGAGUUUAAUGGGAUAAGGAAUGGGAGUUUAGAGAGGCAACUCCCACUUAUCAUUUCCCCAGGGGAGGGGUGGGAAUUAGGUAAGAAUUUGUUUUAAAUGGAAGAUGAAUGCAUCUACACCGUUUAUCAUAACUUAAGAUAUAAUUUCCCACUGCUAAACCCUCACACCAAACAACGGAUAUCUAGUUUCACUUAAACUCCCACUCUUAAUUCCCUCCAAAAGACAAACAAGGAAAUGGCACUAAAAAUCAUAUUCCCAAAUAAAUUCCCUCCACCAACUCCCACCGCUAAUUCCGAAGCCCCUUCCCAUUAGUUGCCCAACGCACCCUUAAAUUAGACGAAACUGGCACCGGUCAAAAACAGAAUACUGAUCGAUCAGAUGAUCACCUAUGUGCUGUGAAAUGAAAUGAUUCAUGAACAGUAACCGUAUGACUUGUUGGAGAUCACUCUAAAAGACAGCCACCCUCGAGGUCAUCUUCUUCGGCAUGAGCCAACUUGCAUCGUGAAAUCUUUUGGCUUCAGGCGAAGGUUGCUAACAUCGUGAGACCAAUUUGGCAUAAAAACCAUGUUAGCCUCGCGCUGUCUCUGUAGCUCGGGUCUCGAAGCUAAGGCAUAAUUGCUAAUGGCUAAAAUGUGACAAAGCUUACCCUCGGAUGCUCGAAGCUAACCUCGAGUGACAAGUUUUUUACUGUGUUUUAUUCAGGGUUACCGGAAUGAGGACGCUAAGGCUCAAGGCACGAGGCUAGGCAUCUUUCUCGGCACGAGGAUGAGAGAACUUCAAGCACGAGGUAAAGAGGUUCGCUGGAAAGAUGCUAAAGGCACAAAGGCGUGAAAAGCAUGAUUGCAUGGAGGCGUUGGAAACGUGAACCCCCGGUGGCGUGAUUAACGUGACUACCCGCUAGCGUGAGAAGCGUGACCCAAUAGAAGAGACCAAGUCGAACAAGGUACCUCCAACCUUUAUGUACAGUAGUUGAGAUAGGGUGAUCUUAGAAUGUAAAGUGUCCCUCGGAUCACUAUAAAAGAGGAGCACUACCCUGGUGUAAAGGGAUGAUCUUUUUUGAGAACUGAAUCACGAGUGCUAACUCUACAUUGUUGUGUUCGAGUCUCCUUGAGGAGUUCUCUAUCGCUAGGUGUGAAAGCCUACAGAGUCUUGAAUCUUCCCAAGGUGCGUCAGCUGUGGGUAAGUUGCUGUCAAGUUUAAGGCGUGUGGAUGAGUUGGGCAGUUUGGAGCAGCUGUGGCUGAAUGUGGAUUUGCAGGACCUCGCUUCUCAGUGGGUGCCUGGGCUUAAACAACAGCGCCAAUAACUCCAUGGGGAAGACCUGGAUAUCUACACAUGGUGACUGAGGUACGAGAAAAACUGGGCAUUAAUUUAGUUGCUCCUUAAUUUGUUUGGUUGUCCAUCUAAUUAAUGUUGUUUUCUCUCUGAAUUUUGUAGUUUCAACCGACACUAGCAUCUUGAAUUUGUGGAUAUUAGUCUUCUGUAGGAAGGAGGACUGAUGAUAAAGUGCAACGAUCAAGAUGAACUGAGGUCGAAGGGUGGGAACUGAGAGAUGGAAAUCAAGAGCAGCUGCAUGCGAUGCAUCGAUUCUUGCUCUAAGGUUGGUUCUAUGAGAACACAGGCAACACAGGGAGAAGGCUUCCUCUCUUCUUUGGCCCAUUGGAAGCCUUGUUUAAUCUUGUUCAAGUGUUUGCUAUUGUUGUGUGCAUGUCUAAACAAAAUGUGUGCUACUUACUUGAGUUUCUCGAUUAAUUCAUUCUGUAAGGCCUGGUUUGGUUCGUUUGCUUAUUUUUAAGCAUCCGUCAUAUCGAAUGUUUAGAUACUGAUUAGGAGUAUUAAACGUAGACUAUUUACAAAAUCCAUUACAUAAGUGGAGGCUAAACGGCGAGACGAAUCUAUUAAGCCUAAUUAGUCCAUGAUUUGACAAUGUGUUGCUACAGUAAACAUUUGCUAAUGAUGGAUUAAUUAGGUUUAAUAGGUUCGUCUCGCUGUUUAGCCUCCACUUAUGUAAUGGGUUUUAUAAAUAGCCUACGUUUAAUACUCCUAAUUAGUAUCUAAACAUUGAUGUGACACUUGCUUAAAAAUAAGCAAAGGGAACCAAACGCCCCCUAAGAUGGGCUUCUAUUCCUUGUACUUAGCGAACUUGUAAUCAUAUCUUGGCUGGUGCCUAUGCUGCUGCUCCGUCGUCAAUUUGUCACCUGCUCUUUCACUGUGAUGCGAUUACAAUUUGUUGGGUGCAAUCAAUUUCUUCCGUUCUGUUCUCAAAAAAAUGUCAGAACUUGGAGAAUCACAGCCAUCAAGAUGCACUGAUGUCGGAACUCGGAGAAGGCUCCUUCUCUUCUUUGGCCCAUGGGAAGGCUUGUUUAAUGUUGUUCAAGUGUUUGGGUAUCCUUGUGUGCAUAUCUGAAUAAAUUGUGUGCUACUUGAGUCUCUCGAUUAAUUCAAUCUGUGUGAUGGCUUGUAUUCCUUGUACUUCGUGAACUUGUAAUGUCAACUUCAUCUGCUGUUGCAUGCUUUCUGUUGCCAACUGAGCUCCUGUUUUGUUACCACUGCUAUUAAUUUUUACUCUAAUAGAACUUCUGUUACUCGUUCCCCUGCUUAGUUCCCUAAUGCAUCUUAUGUCAAACAAUCAAGUCAUCCCGUGAAUGGUGAAAUGCGGGUUAGCUCUAAAAAUCAUAUCUUGGCUGGUGCCUAUGCCACUGCUCUGCCAUCAAUUUGUCACCUGUCCUUUCACUGUGAUGCGAUUACAUUUUGUUGGGUGCAAUCAAUUUCUUCGGUUCUGUUCUCAAAAAAAAAAUCUUCCAUUCAUAGGACUAGAUUUGCACGAGCAAAUUUCCGCUCAAAUUCGUGCAGCUAGAUGAGGCACGAGUCGUCAUUAGUCGAUACUUAGGUAGCUGCAGUUCUGAGCAUCUACUGAAACUCUGUUCUCUUUGCAUCUACUCUGUUUUCUUCGAACCCUGCUUGAUUCAGUACCAACACAAGACAGCUAGCCGGAUCAGGUAGCGUGGUCGCUCUACUACAGAUGAACCUCUGAACAUUAAUUUCCUCUGUUUCUAUAAAUCGUGCAGCUGUUCAACAAUAAGAAACCAACUAAUUUCAUCAUGUUUAUUCAAAAAAUGGCUGGCUUGUGGAAAUGCCCGAAUUGAUGGACUAGAAUGUUGAACACAAAGUUUGGGAAAAGAGUUAAUCUCAGAAUUAGAGUUGGCAUGCAUGGAUCAUGAUGCGACUUAGAUCUACUUGUGUAUAUCCAAUUGCAUCAAGGAAAAGAGCUGCUCCAGAGCUAUCUUGAAGCUUUCUCCUCCAAGCGCAGGGAGGAAUAGAACAGAGCAGAGAACAGCUGCACUGCAAAGGCGCUCUCUGCACUCCUAGGAAGACUGAUUGGACUGAGAAAACAUGUGGUUGGACUUUUGACUAGGGGAGCUAAGGUGAACGAUUGUUGACUAGGAAGGCAUGAGGUUGGACCUCUCAUUCGGUCCGCUAAAAGAACAAUUAUUGUUGACUAAGAAAACAUGAGGUUCGGCCUCAGAUGGAAUUUGUAAGGUCCAAAGGGCCACUUUCAUAUCUUCUCCAUUCUAGAGGAUCGGAAGCUUUGGUCAGUUUUGUAUUCAUUUCUUUGCAAAAGAAACGUACUCAGAUGCCUCCUAUGGUCUCCAUGGUUGGUUGCAAUCACCUAACUGAAUUAAUUGAACGAUAGAUAGAGCAUACUGUAAAUUUUUUAUGACCAAGGACAAAAGGAACGACUUCUACUGAACUGACCACACAGCAAAGAGGCCAAGGCCUGGUGGCCUUAUCGUCACGCAUCUCGCUACUAAGUAGUGAUCACACACCAAAUAAAAGCUAACAGCCGAAGAAGGCAACGGAUGUCAACAAAGAUGGCAUGCAUGCAUGUUUCCUUGACUAUAUAUGACAUGGGACAACUAAUUUACAUUUAUACUGCUACGAGUUUUACAAUAUUAGUAAAAAUCUAUUUGGAUCCGAUGCUAAAUUUUAGCGGGCUAAAAAUUAGUCCUUAACGAUUUAAAUGGUGGGGCUAAAGGUGGACUAAUUAUUAGCCAACUCAAACUAAACUUUAGUUCAUUAGCCCUCCAAACCCAGCUAAUGGGGCUAAUUUUACAAACGAAUGGUAAAAGAUUAAAAAUACCCUCCACUAAAAUCUUAAGAUUUUCUCUCCUACACCCCCUAAGGAUAGAAUAGACAUUUCCCAAUAAAUAGGUUAAAAAUUAGCUCUACCUCCAAAGAAGACAGAGUUAUUUUAGCCAACGAAAGUUUUGAUGUCUAAACUUUAGUUUUAGUCCAUCCAAACAGACUCUUAGAAUGAUUGAUACCACCACCUUGAUUUUGGUUCGGAAGUAUUUAUCUAGAUAAAAUAAAAAUUUUAGCGCUGGUCCAUGUAUCUAGAAAAACCAAAUCAACCUACAUUUUGAAACGAAGGGAGUAGAAUGUAAGAUGCAUAGGUGCAACUUGAAGAAAAUUGGAUCCCCGUUGGUACGGAACUAUGAUACAAGUAGGGAGAGAUGUCUCGUACGUAAUUUCGCUGUUGCACGAUUCAUGAAUGCAUGCAUGUAUGAUACAAGUAGCAAGAGACGUCUCGUGAUUUCGCUGUUGCACGAUUCGUCAAGAUGCAGGGACCAGCAUCAUCAAACUGAAAACGUGAUGGACUGAGACGGCGGCGCGUGUUGGAUGUGUUCCGCCUGCAGGCCGCGACGUACUUGAGAAUAGCACGCGUCACGUAAGGGGUGUUUGGUUCUUCAGAACCUCCUAAAAUUCCUAUCACAUCGAAUGUUUAGAUAGUAAUUAGAAUUCCUAUCACAUCGAAUGUUUAGAUACUAAUUAGAAGUAUUAAAUAUAGACUAAUUAUAAAAUCAAUUGCACAGAUGGAGGCUAAUUUGCGAGACGAAUCUAUUAAGCCUAAUUGCACAGAUGGAGGCUAAUUGCGAGACGAAUCUAUUAAGCCUAAUUAGUCCAUGAUUUGACAAUGUGAUACUACAGUAAACAUGUGUUAAUGAUGGAUUAAUUAGGCUUAAUAGAUUCGUCUCGCGAAUUAGCUUCCGUCUGUGUAAUUAGUUUUAUAAUUAACUCAUCUUUAUUCCUUCUAAUUAGACAAAUAUUCGAUGUGACAUAAAUUUUAAUCCGGACUAAAGAUCCAAAUUACCCCUGGUACGCGUGGGAGUAGCUCAGCUGUCCCUGUCCAUUGCGGCCCGGAAACUGGAAUUCCACCUUCAAGAAGUACGUGCCGAGCCUGACUGUUUGUAGAUUCGUCAAGGUCAUCGUGGUGUUUCUAGAUUCGUUUCAUCUUUCGAAGCAGAGUUCUUGUGUUGAGUUCUUGUUGUUCACCGUGGAAGAGUUGGCGUUUCUAGCACGCACGGAGAGUGAACCAAGGCAUGUGGGACGACCCAUUCGGAGUAGUAGUCAAUGUGGAAUUGAAUGACGGGCUGUGUUAUGGUGUGCAUCGAGUGGAAGAAAUUAAAAAGUCUGAUUGCAACGUUACUGCGUUACUUGACGAAAUCUGCAGCUUGAAGAACAGGGAAGGUCCAUGAAUGCAUGCGCCGGAGGAGAUCCGGAACAACGUAUGCAUAUACGGGAGUUCUUGGGAAAAUAAUAAUUAGAUAAAAAUUACUAAAUUAUCUAUAAAAAUGGAAGGUUAACCUACAUGAUUAUGAUAGUGCAGAAAUCAACCGAGCAGGAAUGGAGUCAACAAUGACGUGUCCUGUGCAACAAUGACGUGCCCAGGAAGAUGCGGUCCAGUUGACGCAGCCAAGAUGGGCCGUUACACGUUGAUCCAUUGUUAGCUAGCGCACUCGCUUCACCAGCAGCAACCUCUAUAAAAGGAGAUCAAUACCGGAACAGAUCAGCAAUCUGCACAAGACCACAAGUAGUUAACUAAGCAUUGCAGCCAGUUACUAGCAACUAGUGACUACUGAACAUCCAGCGCGUAGGAUGGCUGCAAGAAAGGAUAUUGGUGCUAACAAGGAGACCUGCGGCGCCUUUGAACCUUGUUUAUGGGGCGACUUCUUUGUGAAUUACACUCCUACCUCAUCACAGGCAUGAAUUUAUGAUUUCAUUGUACUCAGCAUGUUAUAAUGUUUAGUUCUUUAGUUAUAUUGUAUUGCAUAACAAGCAGAGGUCGGAGGAGUGGAUGAGAGAGAGGAGUGAGCAACUCAAAGGGGAAGUGUGCCGGAAGUUUGAGGUUGGAAAAGCCAUGAGCGUGGCCGACGCGGUGAGGUUGGUGGACACGCUUGAACGCCUUGGUAUAGAUAACCAUUUCGUCAAGGAGGUUGAGAAGGCCUUGGAGGGUGUCCACGAUGAGGAGCUGGACUUUGGUAGCUCCAAUGACUUGCAUGUUGUUGCCCUCCGGUUUCGUCUUCUUAGGCAACAUGGCUUUUGGGUAUCCGCAGGUAAUAGAAAUCAGAAGCUAACAAAAGCUGAUCAGUUAUGCUCGAUCAUUAUUCUUUCACACAUGUUUCUCUGUUUUUCUCUUUUUUCCUGUUGCCACCACAUAACCUAUAUACGCUGAAAACUGUUUAUCAUUCAUACAAUUUUUUUUGUUUAGAUUUGAUUUGAAUGCGUGUGUAAUAUUAUGUACUAGGAGUUAUAGAAAACGCCAUAUCAUUACUAUAUGAGCUUCUAGUGAUGAAUAUGUACAUACGUGCAUGCAUACAGAUGUAUUCGACAAAUUCAGAGAUGACACCGGUAGUUUCAACGUAAAUCUAAGCAAUGACCCGAGGGGCCUGCUUAGCUUGUACAAUGCUGCUCACAUGGCGGUACCUGGUGAGACGAUCUUAGAUGAUGCUAUCGCCUUCACUAGGCGCCAUCUUGAGGCUGCAAAAGGCAAGCUUACAUCUCCUAUAAAGGAACAAGUUUCCCGUGCCCUAGAGAUUCCGCUCCCUCGUUUUAUGCGGCAACUAGAGACCAUGCAUUAUAUUACUGAGUAUGAGAAAGAAGAGCCACACGACAUCAUGAUGCUAGAGCUUGCAAAGAUUAACCUCAACCUUCUUAGGAGUGUCCACCUCAAGGAGCUUAAGGACCUCUCACUGUAAGUUGAUAUUCUAGUUCUUUCACCCUAUUUGUUCAUUGUUCAUUGUCUUCACUAACAAGGUGGGUUAACCAAUUCCAUGUGAAGAUGGUGGAGGGAUCUCUAUGACAGUGUGAAGCUAACCUACUGUCGGGACCGCAUCGUGGAGUCUUACUUCUACAGCUUUGGAGUGUUCCAUGGGGAGGAAAGCUCUGCUGCGCGGAUCAUACUUACCAAGGUGUUUGGGUUGUUGGUCCUGAUUGAUGACACAUUUGAUGUGCGCGCCACCUUUGAGGAGUCCCAAAUGUUAGAUGAUGCCUUGCAAAGGUAGGAUAAUUCACUACCACUACAACUACUUCCUCUAUUAUAUGCUUUUUGUAAAUGAAAAAUCAAGUUUUAUCGUACAGCUCACUUAUAAAAAUAACAAGGGACUCGAUAACUGGAAUGCUGACUCACAUAUGAAAAGAACCUAAACUCAUUAUUGUAAGGAAGUCGUACUACAAGAUGGUUGCAUACUUGUAUGUGGUUAUAUAUGUUGUUCGCUGGUCAAAAUAAAACAGCCAAACUAAUUAGUGUAUUUCUGUCAUAAUUAUAUGUAGAUGGGAUGAGAGCACUGUUUCGCUUCUACCACAAUACCUACGCAUGUUCUACAUCAAAACAUUGAGUAACUUCAAUGAAAUUGAGGAUACUUUGGAACCGCACGAGAAGUACCGCAUGGAUUAUGUCAAAAAAGAGGUGUGGCUUUAUAGUCAAAUAGUCAACUAACAGCUACGUAACUUCUGUAGAAACCUGACAAACAUGAACAGUGGUUUAGAUCCUCUCAAUUUUAUUAAUCCAAACUUAUUUGCGUACAAUGUUUUUGAUUUUGCAGUACAAAUUGCAAUCAAAAAAUUCCAUCCAACAGGCUAAAUGGUUCAAUGAAAACUGCACGCCCAGCUUCAAAGAACAUCUAGACGUGUCACUUAUGGCGACGGGUUUGCCGUUGCUGUUCUUCACAGCUCUGAUGAGUGCAGGCCAAGUGAUAAGCAAUGAGGCAUUCGAGUGGGCACUUGACAUGCCUGACAUGUUUUAUGCCAAUAUAGAAGUGGGUCGCUUCCUCAAUGACAUCGCUUCUUACAAGGUACUAUAUCGAGGUCAAAUAAUAGUCUAUCUAUUUUUAAAUAUUUGACGCCAUUACCUUUUUCAUUCUUUUGACUAUUCAUCUUUUGUAUAAACAUAAACAUAUGAUGCACGAUUUAAAGCACUUUUGAUGAGAGGUCUAGUGUUACUUAUUUCGCUUUACUUAAUGAAUUAAUUCAAUAACCAUUAUUGGUCAAAGUUUGAGAAAAAGUCACCUUAGAAGGUAUUUCAAUCAUGGAGGUAUUUAUAAGACCAUUGUUGUUAUUUUUAUUGAUAACAAAUAUUAGAAAAGCAAUGGACAGACAUGCAGUACAUUCCAAACCCCUCUGACAUCAUAAACAGCAAAAUGAUCUACUACCUGCUUGUAUCGGAAAAAUAUGACAUUCAGUGCCCGGAUGGAUCUCUAUGUUACUGCAUAUGCACGCACCUAACAUCACAAAUACACAUAUCUUUGCGCGCAGCAAGGGAAGUGCGAGAAGGAUGUGGCCAGCACUGUGGAGUGCUACAUGAGGGAAUACGGCACGACUGGGGAAGAGGCGGUGGCAGCGAUCACCGGGAUGGUGGAACAUGCGUGGAGGAGGAUAAACAAAGCUGGCAUAGAGGUGAAACCUGCAGUAGAGCCGGUAGUGCAAUGUUUGUUGAACACGACGAGGGUGCUAGAGGCCUACUACCUUCAUGGCAGGGACGGCCUCACCUAUGGCCGUGACCUCAAGGAGCUCAUCACCUUCCUCUUCCUGAAGGAUGUCCAUGUCUAAGUUUGUUAUUUGCAUCAGUACGACAUAUACUGUACUGCAUAUGUGCAAUUGUUAAAUGUGAUGAUUGUGUCGAGAAAAAUAAAAACAAUGGUGCCAACCUAGCUAACUGAUGGUCGAGCCUCGUCACUCGGUUCAGCCUGCCAUUGGCUUAUCUUCUGAACUUAAUCUUUUACAUAUAUGAUAUUGUUAUCUGCUCUCAUUUACUGUCAGACUUUUUGUGUGUUUAGCUCUUGGUCUGCUCUCAUUUGCCUAUGCCGCUGCUCUCUCGUCAAUUUGUCAUAUGUCCUUUCACUGUGAUGCGAUUACAUUUGUUGGGUGCAAUCAAUUUCUUCGGUUCUGUUCUCAAAAAAAAAAUCUUCCGUUCAUAGGACUAGAUUUGCACGAACAAAUUUCCGUUCAAAUUCGUGCAGCUAGAGGAGGCACGAGUCGUCAUUAGUCAAUACUUAGGUAGCUGCAGUUCUGAGCAUCUACUGAAACUCUGUUCUCUUUGCAUCUCCUCUGUUUUCUUCGAACCCUGCUUGAUUCAGUACCAACACAACACAGCUAGCCGGAUCAGGUAGCGUGGUCGCUCUACUACAGAUGAACCUCUGAACAUUAAUUUCCUCUGUUUCUAUAAAUCGUGCAGUUGUUCAACAAUAAGAAACCAACUAAUUUCAUCAUGUUUAUUCAAAAAAUGGCUGGCUUGUGGAAAUGCCCGAAUUGAUGGACUAUAAUGUUGAACACGAAGUUUGGGAAAAGAGUUAAUCUCAGAACUAGAGUUGGCAUGCAUGAAUCAUGAUGCGACUUAGAUCUACUUGUGUAUGUCCAAUUGCAUCAAGGAAAAGAGCUGCUCCAGAGUUAUCUUGAAGCUUUCUCCUCCAAGUGCAGGGAGGAAUAGAACAGAGCAGAGAACAGCUGCACUGCAAAGGUGCCCUCCUUCUCGGGCUGUGACUGUGUAAUAUUCCAAAAAUUUGAAAUAUUAAUUUGAGUGAAAUUUCCAAAAAUUCAAAACUUUUUGUUCAAAUUGUGUGCUUGUUUAAAAAUGAAAGACAAAUUCUCUUCUCAUCCAAAUUCCCUAAUGGUCAAAUCACAAAUCUCUUGAAAACUUGUGUGGAUUUUCAUGGAUUUUAUUUGGAUCUCAAAUAUAAGUGUGUUUGAAUUUUGAAUAUAAUUCAAAAUUCAAACUAAAAUGUAUCCCUCCUAAAUUUCUGUAAAUCAUUUCUUAAGAGCCAGAUCCGCCUUCUCUACAAAAUGUUUUUGCUCCUGAAGCUUUUGGCUGAGAGUAUGGAUCACUUUAUCUUUAUCAGCGAUGGUCCUCAUAACUUUUUCUAUAGUGUCCCGGAGUUUCUCCAAAACACCAAGACAAUAAACACCAAGAUUGUCUGCAGAACUCUUUUCCAGGCUUCUCCAAAACACCAAGACAAUAAACACCAAGAUUGUCUGCAGAACUCUUUUCCAGGCUUUUGACUUUCUGAACGAGGUCGCUGCAAGUGUUGGUAAGCAGCACCUUGUUUCUUUGAAGCUUGGCGUUAGCCUCGAAAAGCUCAUUCUUUAGACUUACUAAAAUGCUAUUUUCCUUCUCGAGCCUCGCCACCUUAGCCUCAAGAUUUAGCAUCUUGGCGCUCUGACUGAGCAUAUCCUUCUCUUUCUCUGCUAGCUUCUUCACAGCGAUCUUGCCGAGGAUCACAGACUGCGCAGGCAGCAAACAGAGAAAGGCAAAUUAAAUGCUAUCAAAUAAUAAGAAGCAAGGAAAAUACACAUAUCAAAUACAAUACCUUGUAACCGAGGUUAGCCAACGGCCUGGCAAGAUCGUCAGGUUCGAGGUCACGAACAGCUUUCUCAUACUCUAUCGGAAUGAGACAUGUUAGAAAAACAAGCAAACUAAGGAUAAGUGCAGUUGAGGUAAACAAAAAAGGAAAUAAGAAGAAAUAACUUUCAGGGUCGAAAGCUUUAUCCUCGCAUUCAUUCCUCAGCACGAGCCUUGGCCUUUCCAGAGGCCUAGAGGUCCUCUUUUUUCUCUGUAUCCCCCUUUUUUCGAGCCUCGCCCCCGUCACCCUCAACUUUCCCUGGGAUUGCCUUCGCCACUUCAUCUACAACACGGACUGCAUCCUCAGUCACAGCCCUGGCAAUGUGGGAAUUCUUCGCAGAGUUUUUGACCUUCAUGCCAGCAAGCGGACCAGUAGCCUCAAGCUCAGGUUUGGUUGUAGCUGGCUCAACCCUCGAGACAAAAGACGCAUAGCUCUUUGUAGCUUCGCCCGAAGAACUUUGACCAAGUCUUUCUUUCUUUUUAAGGGCCUCGAGGCUGGAAAUCUUCAACUUUGCUCUCGCAACCUCACUUACAACUUUGCUCUGGUUCUUGAAUAGUUGAUCAAUGACAUGAGUUUGCUACCUGGAUGUGGAUGAGAACACAAGUGUAGUGUGGUGUCUAACUGUGGUGCUAGCAUGACAUGAUCAUGGUAGAUGAAUGAUCCAUGAAUAAUUGUUGCAUGACUUGCAUCAAUGAUCAAUGGAUGCAUGCUUAAAGCAACAAUACCAAAGACUAUCACACUAUCAUUUACCAUUCAAAAUGUUUCAAGAGGUAGAACUGUAGAACAACCUGUGUAUCUUGCUGUUAAGAUGUACUCUAAAGUAUUCAGCUAUUGGAGGUAACCAAACUAACAUUACAAGCAUGUUGGAGCUAGCUCGAAAAGCCAUAUGGGGAUCCGGGUAUGGUUUAUGAUGUUUCCAUCCGCUCAAAUUCUUCAGCAGUUUCUUUCGAGCAGAGUUUAUAUAAGAUGCAUGCCUCUGUUUGCGAAACACGAGUUUUUUAUUCACAUCAAUGUUUGUACAGGCAAGUUCUAUAAAAAAAUAUUUCAUUCACAUCCUUAGUGAAAGAGACGUUUGCCGUUUACCAAUAAAAUCUUAUGGUCAUCGCCAAUGCUGUAUCUGUGACAGAUAAAAGUACAUUGCAGGAACAAAUAGAUCCUCUGUGGCUCUGUCGUUCAGUCGUUACUAGUUCCUGAAGCGUUAGUGUAAAGAGACCGGAGAAGUAGUCGAGAUCGAGGCCGUUGUCUUGUAGUCGGUUCAGGCAGGCCCGAGGUCACAUUGUUGGCCCUGCUCGAAAAUGUUGCAAGAUGGGAUCGAAGCAGAUCAUUAUGCUCGAAAAUGUAUUUGCAUGGCUUUGUUCCAAAGUUCCUCCGUCAACCAUGCAAGAGUCAGUCUUUUUUUAGUGUGACUGAAUCUUGGCUGCAAGCAAAGCUACAGCCUGCAAACUGCAGGUCACACGAUUCACUUGAUACAUGACUGAAUGGAAGGGAACAUGCCGGUCAUGUUUAGUUCCCUCCAAACUCCCAACUUUGACGCUAUGCAAAAAAAAGAUUCCCCAUCAUAUCAAACUUGCGGUACAUGCAUGGAGUACUAAAUGUAGACGAAAUCAAAAACUAAUUGUACAGUUUUGUUGUACUUUGCGAGACGAAUCUUUUGAGCCUAAUUAGUCAAUAUUUGGAUAAUAAUUCACAAAUACAAACGAAACGGUACAGUUGCGCAUUUAUAGCAAAAUGUCAAUUUUGCCUAUCCCAAAUUGGAAACUAAACAAGGCCUAACAUCUGAGCUGUCGCCGCCGGCAAGGAGUGUAUCCAUUUGUGCAGCCCAAUCACAAAUGCUCGUAUGGGCUACUUUGAAGCGGCAGCAGCAAGACUGUUGCCGAGCACCAAAUGUCAUUCUUUAUCCGAUCUUCAGAAUUCGGUCAUGUAAUAAUUCAGUUCACUCCUUGACUUGAUGAGUGCACUCAAUCACCCAUGAUGAAUGAAUGAUUGAUUAGCAGUUUGCUGGAUGGCAUUGAGAAUAGUUUAGCGGCAUCAGCGCGUGGGGAAUAUAUAGUUUAGCGGCAGGGGCCCAGGACACAGUGCAGGGAAUCAGAGUUCUCGCAAAGAAAACCUUUCUCCGUAGAAUUGCUCAAAGAAUCGUAGAGAAUCACUUUCAAAUUGCAUUAGUAUGUCAAGAACUCACGAUCACUUUCAAAAACGGAACCGGAAACGAUGGGGAGACCUUGGCCUUGACCUGGAGUCGUCGACUGGAGACUGGAGUCAGCACGUGAGCGUGGCCCUCCUGGACAAGCAGCGGGGCCAGGAGCAGGACGUGCAGCGACCAGCAAUCAUUGAGUUUGGUGUUUGAGCAGCGGGGCCACUGAGCGGUGGUGCAUUAUUACCUUCAAUUAUUAAUUGCCUUCCCCUUCCCCUGCAUCCGCAUCCCAUCGACCUCUGCUUCGUGCGAUUCCAAGGCUGUUGCGAGCGGUGAGCUGUGUUGCGGCCGAGCAAGCUUGAAUCAAGCAACCUCGGUCCGGCGACGAGCGGCUGGCGGCGCGAUCCGGCAAACCAGUGAGUCCUAGCUGUCGCACCCUUGUCCUUCAAUCUUCUUCAUGCCCAUCCAUUCCCAUUAGGCAAUAGCUACAGCCUACGAAAAGGCAGGUCGAGCACCCCCAUCCGAAGGAGCCCAAGCGGCCAUCCACAAAGACGUAAAGUCACGAGACCCUAUCGUUAGCUUCUCUCAUCAGUUAAUAUGAUUUCUGUUGUUAGCUUCUCUCCAUCUGAAUUAAGCUGUUCAAACGAUGUCACAAUUUGAUUAAUGAUUUGAAUUUUAAUGGUAGAUCGUCAACAACUCAAAUGUCGAGAAAAACAUCAAUCACACAUCAUUCAGUUUCAUUUUAGUACUAGCAUACAACCUUACUCAUUGGUCUUGCCCAGGGACAACAAAUCCAUGGAGAUCGUGGCGGGGGCACUGCCGAGCCUCCUCCCCAAGCUUGCUGAGCUGCUAGUAGGCGAGUACAAUCUGCAAAAGGAGGUGAAAGGAGGCAUCAUCUUCCUCCAAGCUGAGCUCGAGAGCAUGCAAGGUGCCCUCGAGAAGAUCUCGAGGACACCAGCAGACAAGAUUGACGACCAGGACAAGAUCUGGGCUAGGAAAGUGAGAGAGAUGUCCUACGAUAUAGAGGACAAUAUUGACAAAUAUAUCCUGCAGUGCAAGGGGAGGAAGACGGGCGAACAGCAUAGCAUCAAGGAAGCCAUUGAUAGGACCCUCAAAUGGUUCAGGCAGCCUAAGAUUCGUCGUAAGAUUGCUACAGAAAUCAGAGAGAUCAAGAGCCGUGUCAUCGAGGUGCAUGAACGGCGUCGCAGGUAUGAGGUCAGCCUUGGUGUUGAUAAGCCUGUAACUGUGGACCCUCGUUUAUUCGCUCAGUACACAGAGGUCAAAGAGCUUGUUGGCAUGGAUGAGGCAAGGGAUGAGUUAAUCAACAAGAUUAUGAUACAAGAGAAUGAAGUUCCCAAGAAGCAAGGCAAGAUAGUUUCAAUUGUUGGAUUUGGAGGCCUAGGAAAGACAACUCUUGCCAAUGCAGUGUACAAAAAGAUUAGAGCACAGUUUGAUUGCUAUGCUUUUGUUUCUGUUUCUCAAACUCCUAACCUGAAGAAACUGUACAACGGCUUGCUAUAUGAUCUUGGCAAGAGCAUCAAUGAAGAAACAUUGGGUGAAAGGCGGCUCAUAGAAGUACUCAGAGAAUUCCUUGAAGACAAAAGGUACAAAAGCAUUCCUUUCGCCAAUUUAUACAUAUGAAAUUUUUUUGGAAUCAUGAUUUAUGCCCUCUGUUCACAAUACUAAAGUCUACAUAGGGUUAAUUAAAUGUUCAUGCACGUGGCACUUAUUAAAUUACAAACUACAACCACUUAAGCUUUACCAAAACAUUAUUAAGUGCAAAUAAUUUCCUCACUGUACCAAAAUUUAAUCAUUAAACCAUUAGCAGUGGUCUAGUUUGCUUAAUUUUCUUGUAGCUGGUAUAUGAACAACAUUAGAGCUUUCUUCGGUCCUUAAACCAGUAUUUUUUGGCUAAUACCUUGGCAUAUGUGUAGGUAUUUUGUUGUUGUUGAUGACGUAUGGGAUAUAUCAGUUUGGAAAAUGAUUAGAUGUGCUUUGCCUGAUAAUGAUGUUGGAUAUACUAUUAUUACAACAACCCGUAUUUCUGAUGUUGCUGAACAAGCUGGGGGUGCUUACAACAUGAAACCUCUUUCUUUGAAUAACUCCCGAAAACUACUGUAUAGAAGAAUAUUUGGUAAUGAGAACAAAGACAACAAUGAAGAAGAAGAAAAAUGUCCUCCUGAGGAGCUGGCCGAAGUAUCUGACAGAAUACUGAAGAAAUGUGCUGGUGUGCCCUUGGCUAUUAUUACGAUGGCUAGUUUGCUAGCUUGCAAAGCAAGAGAUAAAAUGGAGUGGUACGAGGUGUGCAAUUCUGUUCGUACUGGUCUGGAAAACAAUCUAGAUGUGGAGAAUAUGAGAAAGAUAUUGUCAUUUAGCUAUUAUGAGCUACCAUGCCAUUUAAGAGCUUGCUUGUUAUAUUUGAGCAUGUUUCCUGAAGAUUAUGAAAUUGAGAAGGAUCGUUUGAUAAGGAUAUGGAUAGGUGAAGGUUUUAUCCAAUGUGAAAAAGCAGGGAAGAGCCUAUUUGAACUCGGAGAGAGUUAUUUCAAUGAGCUUAUAAACAGAAGCAUGAUCCAACCAAUACAUAGUAUUGUAAAUGGUAUGAUACGAGCUUGUCGUGUACAUGAUAUGGUGCUUGAUCUUAUCCGCUCCUUAUCAAGUGAAGAAAACUUUGUUACUGUACUAAGUGAUAUGGGAGGCACAUCUCCGUCAAAUACGAUGCGAAGGUUGUCCCUUCAGAAUGGCCAGGAAAGUCACGUGAUGGCUCAAGCUACAUGGAGCUUGCAACAUGCAAGGUCAGUUGUUGUCUUUCUAGCUGCUGCUUCUCUAGUGCCGCCUCUUGCUUGCUGCCGAGUUUUACGUGUUUUGGAUUUAGAGAACUGCAAUCUUUCACAAGCUAAUAGUAGCCUUAAGUACCUUGGGAAUCUGCAUCACUUGAGGUACUUGGGACUAUGUUUGACAGGUAUUUCUCAGCUCCCAGAAGAAAUAGGAAACCUGCAGCUUCUACAAACAUUGAAUGUAUGGCGCAACAAAAUUUCCAGGUUACCUUCAAGUGUUGUCCAGCUAACAAAGUUGAUGUUCCUAUACAUUGACGAUUCUACAAGAGUUCCAAACGGAAUUGGAAACCUGACAUGCCUUGAACAGCUAUCAGUGUUACGCAUUGCUGACUCUGACAUAAACAUUAUAGAAGAGUUGGGCCAGCUAACUGAACUGAGGCAGCUGUCCUUUUGGUUGGACAAGUGGAAUGACAAGCUGUUGGAGUGCCUAUGCAAGCUACAAAAGAUACAGGAACUAUAUAUCAUGUUCUCUCAUGAAUGCAACAUCGGCGGAUUGGAUGCCUGGGUCGCCCCUCGACAUCUCCGCGUAUUGAAUACGAUAUGCAGAGGUUGGUUUUCAACACUGCCGGCUUGGGUGAAUCCAUCACUUCUUCUGGACCUCACCAAUCUAAACAUCCCUGUGAGGGAGCUACAUCAGGCCGAUCUCGAAAUCCUCGGGAGGUUGCCAGCUCUCCGCUUUCUAUCUCUGAAGCUGGACAAUAAGAACCUCGGUAUCCUUGCAGGAUUCGUUGUUGGUGCUGGUGCGUUCCCGUGCCUUGUAAGAUGUUACUUCUGCCAAUUUGUGUGGCCAGUGGUAUUUCAACAGGGAGCUAUGCCAAGGCUCAGAGAGCUUAUGUUCUCGCAGUUUUAUGUGGGGGAGGCAAGAGGAAUUGCCUGCAAUGAUGGUAGUCUUGACUUGGGCCUGGGAAACCUGCCAUCGCUGCAGUUUGUCGAGGCUUACCUGAAAUGUGAUGGUGCUGGCAAGGAGGAGGCAGAGCAAGCCAAGGCUGCGCUGAUGCAUGAAGCUGAAAUGCAUCCCAAUCAUCCCUCACGUCAGAUCCAUAUUAUAGGUGCGCCAGCUCCUGAUUGUUAUUCCUUACUUGUCUCCUUCCCCCUUUCUUCUAAACUAUAUUUGCGUUUAUUCCUCUGUUUGAGAUGGUGGGAUCUCCAGCUGAUCUUUCACCACGCCUUUCUUCUAGCCCUUUUGCCUCAAUUCUUCUAAUCUUCCUUUUGUAUAUUUCGGUCUGAUAUACAGUUGACGAUGACGAUGAUGAUGAUGACGAGUAUGACGAUGAUGAUGACGAGUAAUAUAAGACUUUACGCUGGAAGGUGAAGCUGGAGCAGAGCAGAUGACAAAGUCCCUCUGUUUCGCCACGCAUGCAGAGGUUAAACUGCUCGGCCAUGAGCUUUACCAGACACCCUCAACAUGUGAGUAAACAAUGAAUGCUGCACACAUGAUCGUUUCUGCUGUGCAUCAACUGUUAUGGCAUUUCGUUGCAAGAGUGUAGGAUGACAUUGUCAGUGGAUAUGAUUGUAAUCCCUGACUAACUUCCCCCUCUGUACUCAUAUUGCCGUUUUAUUUUACUCAUUGCGAAGGGACUGAGCUAUCUCCUGCGCCCCUGAUCUAGUUGCCUUGUAUCGUCUCAGUGGUUCAGGGCCUUGGCUGUUUAUUUUGAUGAAUCUUUUUCAGAUUAAGUGAUGAAAAAUAAAAACAAGGUAUUUUUGGGUUAAUGUUGCAGCUUGUGACCGUAAUCAUCUUGUGAACCGUAAGCAUGGACGGCAGUACGUAUUCAUUGUUGCGCGGUUUCUGAUAUACUAGGCCAACUGUUAUGGCAUCUCGUUGCAGCUACGAUGCCCAAGACCACAUUCAUUCUGCAUCUCUCUGAAGAGAUUCUAGCUGGCUAGACUUCUAGUCCAUGAUCUUCUAGAGCAUCUCUGCAGCACCACCCUCUAUCCCUUCACGCCACUUGUAAAUACAAAUACACAUACAACUUGGGAGGUUGCAUGGACACCUUCCGUCCCUUCAUAUAUUUCUUUCACAAUCCUCUACUCAAAUUAGAGCCAACAAACACUCUUAGCCAAUAAACACUUCUACAUAGUUGGUACGAGCUAUUACGCCGGCUACCUUUUAUUAUAGCAAAGGUCGCAUUGAAUUGUAGGGUGCUACAAAUGGUGUCUAAUUGGCAUUGGUGGCCAUGAUGUAUCCGUGGAGUUGUGGCAGAUAAAUAACUCCAACUCUUUUGAGAACUCGAACCCUCGGUCUUCCUCCAGAGCUAUCUUGAAGCUUUCUCCUCCAAGCGCAGGGAGGAAUAGAACAGAGCAGAGAACAGCUGCACUGCAAAAGCGCUCUCUGCACUCCUAGGAAGACUGAUUGGACUGAGAAAACAUGUGGUUGGACUUUAGACUAGGGGAGCUAAGGUGAACGAUUGUUGACUAGGAAGGCAUGAGGUUGGACCUCUCAUUCGGUCCGCUAAAAGAACAAUUAUUGUUGACUAAGAAAACAUGAGGUUCGGCCUCAGAUGGAAUUUGUAAGGUCCAAAGGGCCACUUUCAUGUUUUCUCCAUUCUAGAGGAUCGGAAGCUUUGGUCAGUUUUGCAUUCAUUUCUUUGCAAAAGAAACGUACUCAGAUGCCUCCUAUGGUCUCCAUGGUUGGUUGCAAUCACCUAACUGAAUUAAUUGAACGAUAGAUAGAGCAUACUGUAAUUUUUUUAUCACCAAGGACAAAAGGAACGACUUCUACUGAACUGACCACACAGCAAAGAGGCCAAGGCCUGGUGGCCUUAUCGUCACGCAUCUCGCUACUAAGUAGUGAUCACACACCAAAUAAAAGCUAACCCUACGGGAAACCUCAAAGUCGCCGAGUGUAAAUACUUCGCCGAGUGUAUUAUUGCGGGCACUCGGCGAAGGACCGGUUUGCCGAGUGCAAUACUAAAAACACUCGGCAAACAUAAUACACUCGGCAAAGAGCCUAUUUGCCGAGUGCCACCAAAAAAACACUCGGCAAACACCCACGGGGCACUCGGCAAAGAUGGAGCACUCGGCAAACUGAUGGGCACGUGACUUCCCCGUGCCGCGACGGGCCGGCGCCGUGACGGACGUUAGGCUUUGCCGAGUGUCGACGGGGGGCACUCGGCAAAGCCACUAGUUUGCCGAGUGUUAUGAUGGGACACUCGGCAAACCUAUUAGUUUGCCGAGUGUCGUGAUGGCACACUCGGCAAAGUGACAAGUAUGCCGAGUGCUAGGGGGGAACACUCGGCAUACUAUAGGGUUUGCCGAGUGUCUUUUGACACACUCGGCAAAAAUAAUCUUUUUUCCCUCCUCCACCCUCCAAACUUUUUACACUCCACAUGUAUGGCAUUUGGCACUGCAUGGUAGAAGGUGGACUAUUUUUUGACCUGUUUGCUAUAUUUAAUUAAUUAAUUUAAUUUAGAGUAAUUUUUUGAUUUAAGUCAAAUUUGAACAGCAGGUGGUUGGAAUAAUGGAAUAAUAUGAGUGGAAAAAUCAUAUUCAUAUUAGUGAGUCCAAAUUGAGGUCUCACCCAGAAAAUGAAAAGAAAUUUUGAACAUUUUGCUAAGGAAACACGACUACGAACGUGCGGCCAAAUGAUUGUUUAAUUCUCAAAAAUACAAAUGAAGUUUGAAAAUCAUGAGAUUGUGCAAGAUGCUAUGAUUUCAUAUGCAGAGGCUGUGGUAAAAAAUUGACAAGGUUUCGCACAAGUUUUGACAUAUGAUGUUUAGAAUUCGAAGCAUCUCCGGAGAGGAUUCGUAGAAGUUGGAAGGAUCCGGUAAGAUUUUGAGACAAAUUGAUGCGAUUUUGAGACCCAUCCGAUGUUGAAGCCUGGAGAAGCUUUGAUGCGAUUUAUCCUGCAAAAGCUCUAGAGGCCCGUAACGUACGCGUUGCGUUGGCAACUGAUGGGUUCAAUCCUUAUGGAAUGGCGGCCGCCCCGUACACCUGUUGGCCCAUUUUCGUUAUCCACCUGAAUCUCCCACCCGGCGUCCUAUUUCAACGACAUAAUAUAUUCUUGUCGUUGAUAAUUCCAGAGCAUCCGGGGAAUAAUAUGAGUGUGUUUAUGGAGCCUCUGAUUGAUGAUUUGCUCCGUGCUUGGGAGGAAGGGGUAUGGACCUAUGACCGAUCCACAAAGACAAACUUCAAGAUGCAUGUUUGGUACCAGUACUCACUGCAUGACUUGCCGGCAUAUGGGAUUUUCUCCGGAUGGUGUGUUCACGGGAAGUUCCCAUGCCCAGUAUGUAAAGCAUCUUUGAAGUUCAUUUGGUUGUCGAAAGGUGGCAAAUAUUCUUCGUUCGACAAACAUCGACAAUUCCUCCCUCCUGACCAUCCAUUUAGACGAGACAUCAAGAACUUUACCAAAGAUGUUGUAGUUACAGCCCCCGCACCGCCGAUGAUGACAGGGGCUGCAGUUCGUGCUCUGUUAGACGCUCUUGAGGUCAAUAAUGAAGAAGGUGGUUUUUUGGGAUAUGGCGAGCAACAUGCUUGGACGCAGAAGUCGUGCUUGUGGAAGCUUCCCUAUUUUGAUGAUCUCCUUGUUCCACAUAACAUUGAUGUAAUGCACACGGAAAAAAAUAUCGCCGAGGCAAUUUUUGGUACAAUAAUGGACAUUCCUGACAAGACAAAGGAUAACGUUAAGGCUAGAGUGGAUCAAGCAACAUUGUGCAAUAGACCACAGCUAAACAUGGCACCUCCAAGAGCUGGCAAGUCAUGGAGGAAGCCUAAGGCCGAUUUCGUUCUGACAAGGGCCCAAAGGAGGGAGGUCCUAGAAUGGUUCCAAACUUUAAUGUUCCCUGAUGGCUAUGCAGCGAACUUGAAGAGGGGAGUGAAUUUAGCAACUAUGCGAAUCAACGGGCUCAAGAGUCAUGAUUACCAUAUAUGGCUUGAGCGCCUACUUCCGGUGAUGGUUCGAGGCUAUGUCCCUGAGCAUGUGUGGCAGGUGCUAGCGGAGUUGAGCAAUUUCUUCCGCCGGCUUUGUGCGAAGGAGUUAUCUCGUACCGUGGUUGCAGAAAUGGAAACAAUGGCGCCUGUGUUGCUCUGUAAGUUGGAAAAGAUCUUUCCUCCAGGCUUCUUCAAUCCAAUGCAGCAUAUGAUUCUACACCUCCCGUAUGAAGCACGAAUGGGGGGCCUGUGCAGGGUCGUUGGUGCUACUCAAUUGAGAGAUGUCAAAAGGUUCUUCGAACUAAAUGUAAGAAUAAGUGCAAAAUUGAAGCAUCCAUUGCAGAGGCAUACAUUCUGGAGGAGGUGUCAAACUUCACAUCGAAAUACUACGCUGACAACCUUCCUAGCGUGCAUAAUCCACCUCCUCGUUACAAUGCCAGCGAAGAUGAAUUAAGCCUUAGCAUUUUCCGAGGGCAACUCGGAAGUGCAAGUGGUGCGACCCGCAAGACCCUUAACCAUGAAGAGUGGUGCUCUAUCAUGCUGUAUGUGUUGACCAACCUAUCUGAAGUGGAGCCGUACAUGAUGUAAGUCAUCGACAAACUUGUUUCGACGUAGUCAUGGUAUCUCUUGCCUAAAUGUAUCUUUCUCGUUGGUAUAGGCAAUUUCAUCGUCAAUUCUGGCGUAAAUCAAGGCAACCGUAUCCGCACGAAGCUGAGACUCUUCUUAAAGAGGGUGCGGGAAAUGGAAUGCCCGAUUUCAUUUCUUGGUUCAAACAGAAGGUACAAUUUCAUUUCUUCGAACAUUCUCGUUCUCGUACAUACGAUUAAUAUAACGAACCGCCCUGUUUGAACUUGCAGGGCCGAACCGAUGCGUCUAUGAAUGUCGAGUUGAGACAGGUUGCCGAUGGCUAUGACUAUAGGGUCAGGUCAUUUGCUGGUUAUGACGUCAACGGAUAUAGGUUUCACACAACAAGGCACGAGCAGAGUCGGCCCAAUCGAAGAACCACAAAUACCGGAGUUUUCACGCCAGGCUCCGAUGGGCUCGAGUACUAAGGAAGAAUUGAAGAAAUAUACGAACUCACUUUUCAUGGGUGCAAACCUCUUAAUCCAGUUAUAUUCAAAUGCCAUUGGUUUGAUCCAUCUGUCGUGAGACGGGCCCCUAACCUUGGGCUAGUCGAAAUUCGACAGUCAUCCAGGUUACCAGGAGACGAUGUCUAUAUUGUGGCUCAACAGGCCACGCAAGUUUAUUAUUUGUCAUACCCGUGCCAAACCGACAGCCGUCUUAAGGGUUGGGAUGUUGUGUAUAAGGUAUCGCCACACGGUAAACUACCUGUACCAAACAAUGAAGAUUACAAUAUAGACCCCGACACGUACGAAGGAGAGUUAUUCCAAGAAGAUGGGCUCGAAGGGAGUUUUGUGAUAGAUUUAACCGAAGCGAUCGGAAUGGAAGUAGACAACGAGAGGGUUGCUGCAGAGGAUGGUGGAGACGAGGUUCAGAAUGUGAAGGACUUAGAAUUACUUCAACGAUUACAAUUAGCUAAUGACAGUGAUGACGACAUUCCUUGUUCGGAGCACGAGCUUGACUAUAUCGACACGCGUGAUAGUGAUGAUGAGACUUAUGAUCCAGCUAAUCCCGACAUUGUGCCUCAGCCACCCACGACUACUCCUGUGAGUCACUUGACACAUUGUGCUUAAGAUUUAAUACUUUAAAUUUGACAACUUUAGAUGUUAGCUCAGAAUGUCCUAUCCUAUGUGCAGAAUCAAUCGACUGCUUCGAAUAAUGAAGAUCAAGAUUUGUCGCAGUGGUCUCCUUGGCCUCCACGGAAGUAGACUUGGUUGUGAACAAUGUGGAAACUAAAUUGUGACAAGAACUUGGAUUUAUGGAUUAUUUCGUGCUUAUGUUGAAUUAUGCCUGUGGUGUUUAUGAAUUAUGCCUGUGGUUGUGAAUUAUGCAUGUGAUUGUUUAUUACAAAUGCCUGUGAUAUGUGUAUUGUGAAUUGAGAGGGGUCCGUUAUACGUGGCAAAAUGUCGAAAAAGGGGGGGUUCUGGUCACUUUGCCGAGUGUUACACUCGGCAAAGAGGGGCCUUUGCCGAGUGUUUUGGCUUUAACACUCGGCAAAGGGGCAUUUCCCAGGUGUAUGAAGGCUUGUUUGCCGAGUGCUAGGGACUAGGCACUCGGCAAACAAGGGGUCUUUGCCGAGUGCCAGGCGCGAGGCACUCGGCAAAGGCCCUAAUUCCCAGCCACGCGGGCAGGGGUCUUUGCCGAGUGCCCAUCCUAGCACUCGGCAAAGGGCCCGUCUUUGCCGAGUGCCCGGGACACGGCACUCGGCAAAAAAAGUCGGCUUUGCCGAGUGUGGGCCGUGACACUCGGCAAAGACUCGGUCUUUGCCGAGUGCCUCCCGUCUGGCACUCGGCAAACCCGCCGUUACCCCCGACGCCGUCAGUGCGUAUUUCGCCGAGUACAUCUUUUCGCCGAGUGUUUUUUGGCCGUCGGCAAAAUGUUUGCCGAGUGCUCGAGUUUUGACACUCGGCAAACUAGUCUUUGCCGACACAAAAUUUGUCGUGUGCUCUUUGCCGAGUGUUACACUCGGCAAAGCCUUUGCCGAGUGUUUUUGGGCUUUCGCCGAGUGCCUCUGGCACUCGGCAAAGCUUCUGUUUCCCGUAGUGUAACAGCCGAAGAAGGCAACGGAUGUCAACAAAGAUGGCAUGCAUGCAUGUUUCCUUGACUAUAUAUGACAUGGGACAACUAAUUUACAUUUAUACUGCUACGAGUUUUACAAUAUUAGUAAAAAUCUAUUUGGAUCCGAUGCUAAAUUUUAGCCGGCUAAAAAUUAGUCCUUAACGAUUUAAACGGUGGGGCUAAAGGUGGACUAAUUAUUAGCCAACUCAAACUAAACUAACGAUUUGGAUAAUUCACUACCACUACAACUACUUCCUCUAUUAUAUGCUUUUUGUAAAUGAAAAAUCAAGUUUUAUCGUACAGCUCACUUAUAAAAAUAACAAGGGACUCGAUUACUGGAAUGUUGACUCGCAUAUGAAAAGAACCUAAAAUCAUUAUUGUAAGGAAGUCGUACUACAAGAUGGUUUUAUACUUGUAUGUGGUUAUAUAUGUUGUUCGCUGGUCAAAAUAAAACAGCCAAACUAAUUAGUGUAUUUCUGUCAUAAUUAUAUGUAGAUGGGAUGAGAGCACUGUUUCGCUUCUACCACAAUACCUACGCAUGUUCUACAUCAAAACAUUGAGUAACUUCAAUGAAAUUGAGGAUACUUUGGAACCGCACGAGAAGUACCGCAUGGAUUAUGUCAAAAAAGAGGUGUGGCUUUAUAGUCAAAUAGUCAACUAACAACUACGUAACUUCUGUAGAAACCUGACAAACAUGAACAGUGGUUUAGAUCCUCUCAAUUUUAUUAAUCCCAAACUUAUUUGCGUACAACGUUUUUGAUUUUGCAGUACAAAUUGCAAUCAAAAAAUUCCAUCCAACAGGCUAAAUGGUUCAAUGAAAACUGCACGCCCAGCUUCAAAGAACAUCUGGACGUGUCACUUAUGGCGACGGGUUUGCCGUUGCUGUUCUUCACAGCUCUGAUGAGUGCAGGCCAAGUGAUAAGCAAUGAGGCAUUCGAGUGGGCACUUGACAUGCCUGACAUGUUUUAUGCCAAUAUAGAAGUGGGUUGCUUCCUCAAUGACAUCGCUUCUUACAAGGUACUAUAUCGAGUUCAAAUAAUAGUCUAUCUAUUUUUAAAUAUUUGACGCCAUUACCUUUUCAUUCUUUUGGCUAUUCAUCUUUUGUAUAAACAUAAACAUAUGAUGCACGAUUUAAAGCACUUUUGAUGAGAGGUCUAGUGUUACUUAUUUCGCUUUACUUAAUGAAUUAAUUCAAUAACCAUUAUUGGUCAAAGUUUGAGAAAAAGUCACCUUAGAAGGUAUUUCAAUCAUGGAGGUAUUUAUAAGACCAUUGUUGUUAUUUUUAUUGAUAACAAAUAUUAGAAAAGCAAUGGACAGACAUGCAGUACAUUCCAAACCCCUCUGACAUCAUAAACAGCAAAAUGAUCUACUACCUGCUUGUAUCGGAAAAAUAUGACAUUCAGUGCCCGGAUGGAUCUCUAUGUUACUGCAUAUGCACGCACCUAACAUCACAAAUACACAUAUCUUUGCGCGCAGCAAGGGAAGUGCGAGAAGGAUGUGGCCAGCACUGUGGAGUGCUACAUGAGGGAAUACGGCACGACUGGGGAAGAGGCGGUGGCAGCGAUCACCGGGAUGGUGGAACAUGCGUGGAGGAGGAUAAACAAAGCUUGCAUAGAGGUGAAACCUGCAGUAGAGCCGGUAGUGCAAUGUUUGUUGAACACGACGAGGGUGCUAGAGGCCUACUACCUUCAUGGCAGGGACGGCCUCACCUAUGGCCGUGACCUCAAGGAGCUCAUCACCUUCCUCUUCCUAAAGGAUGUCCAUGUCUAAGUUUGUUAUUUGCAUCAGUACGACAUAUAAUGUACUGCAUAUAUGCAAUUGUUAAAUGUGAUGCUUGUGUCGAGAAUAAUAAAAACAAUGGUGCCAACCUAGCUAACUGGUCGAGCCUCGUCACUCGGUUCAGCCUGCCAUUGGCUUAUCUUCUGAACUUAAUCUUUUACAUAUAUGAUAUUGUGAUCUGCUCUCAUUUACUGUCAGACUUAUUACGUGUUUAGCUCUUGAUCUGCUCUCACUUGCCUAUGCCGCUGCUCUGUCGUCAAUUUGUCACAUGUCCUUUCACUGUGAUACGAUUACAUUUUGUUGGGUGCAAUCAAUUUAUUCCGUUCUGUUCUAAAAAAAACUUCCGUUCAUAGGACUAGAUUUGCACGAGCAAAUUCCCGUUCAAAUUCGUGCAGCUAGAGGAGGCACGAGUUGUCAUUAGUCAAUACUUAGGUAGCUGCAGUUCUGAUGAGCAUCUACUGAAACUCUGUUCUCUUUGCAGCUACUCUGUUUUCUUCGAACCCUGCUUGAUUCAGUACCAACACAAGACAGCUAGCCGGAUCAGGUAGCCUGGUCGCUCUACUACAGAUGAACCUCUGAACAUUAAUUUCCUCUAUUUCUAUAAAUCGUGCAGUUGUUCAACAAUAAGAAACCAACUAAUUUCAUCAUGUUUAUUCAAAAAACGGCUGGCUUGUGGAAAUGCCCAAAUUGAUGGACUAGAAUGUUGAGCACGAAGUUUGGGAAAAGAGUUAAUCACAGAACUAGAGUUGGCAUGCAUGAAUCAUGAUGCGACUUAGAUCUACUUGUGUAUGUCCAAUUGCAUCAAGGAAAAGAGCUGCUCCAGAGCUAUUUGAAGCUUUCUCCUCCAAGUGCAGGGAGGAAUAGAACAGAGUAGAGAACAGCUGCACUGCAAUGGUGCCCUCUUUCUCGGGCUGUGACUGUGUGUAAUAUUCCAAAAAUUUGAUAUAUUAAUUUGAGUGAGCACUUCUCAUCUCAUCUUCCAUGGUUUCAAGCUAUUUCGAUGAGUGAGCGCUUCUCGUGGCUUCUUCAAAUGAGAUGGGAUCUCCCUCCAUUUGAACUUUUUCACUGACAUAGACUUCAUAGUCAUUAAGAAUAGCUAGUUUUCUAACUCUUUGAGACCUUCUGGGGGCCUCAACAUUUGGCACAUCUUCCAUGUGGGGCUGUUGCAGCUCUUCCUCAUGUGUGACAACAGGUUCUAUAGGAUCCUGAAGGACUGGUUCCUCAUCUUCAUUUGUUGUUGCCACGGGAGAACUAACAACAGGUGUUGUCACCGUAGUGUCCUGCACUGUCGGUGCAGCAGCAACUGGUUUCAAGAAAAAAUGUUCCUGAAUCAUCAGAGUAGGUAUGUAUAACCACUUCUCCUCAAGGCUAAUUUCUUAGGGUAUCGUGCUCCCCCUGAUCAUCUCAUCCUCCAAAAAGAUAUUGUGUCUCAUUUCUACAAACUUAGUAUGUCUAUCAGGAUAGUAGAAACGAUAACAUUUGACUUAUCUGGGUAGCCAAUGGAAUAGCAACUGAAUGCUUAGGAUCUAAUUUCCCAAUAUUUUUGUUAAACACUUUAGCCUCAGUUGGACAGCCCCACACAUGCAAAUAAUUUAGUGAGGGCUGUCGUUGAGUCCACAAUUCAUACUGUGUUUUGGACACUGACUUACUGAGAACUCGAUUAAGAAUGUGAACGGCAGCUUUUAACGCCUCCAUCCACAUACUGAUCGGCAAAGUGGAGUAACUUAUCAAACUCCUCACCAUAUCCAUUAAGGUACGUUUACGUCCUUCAACUACUCCAUUCUGCUAAGGCUCACUGUCACACCCUAAAUUUUUCAAAUUUCAGGAUGUGAUUAAAAAGAGUAAUUGAACAACGAUUUUCUCAUAAUUUUAAAAUUUUCCCAAUAUUUAUUUUUCUUUACAGAAAAUUUAAUAUAGGAAAAAUAACUGUUUGCUUUUCUAAAUUAAAUAAUGUUGUUCUAUGUCUGUGCAUUCAUGUUGAUGCAUCUUGGUGUUUCUUGAGUGCAAAAAGUUUUAAAAAUGCGUUUAGACGUUGUCUAGAUUCUUUUGAGAAUUUUCCAGCUUUUUCUGAAAUUUAUUCUCCUUUUCCUAGAGCUAAAUCCAAUUGUUGGAAGGUUCUAAAAUCCUUUUCACGAGCUCCAAGUAUUUUAUUUGGAUUCCUUGCAUCCCAAUCUACCUAUGAGAUUUAUCUCAGAUUUUUUGGAAUUUCCUAGAUAUUUUUCUCGCUUUAGAAAACAAGUUCGCCUAUUUCUGGAUUUGUUUUCACGCAGAUAAAAUUAUGUUAGAAAUUCUGAAAAUAGAAAAGUCAACCCGAAAAUAUCUUUUUUCGAGUCUGGCCUAUAUAUAUAUAUAUAUCACCGCGUUCGUCACGACGCGAGGAUUUCAGAUCUACAAACCUUUUCACGAGUUGCCUCUCCUAACUCCGUAGAUCUGAAGUCAAAGAUCGAUCUUCGUCAAACUCCUUUUCUGGCGAAACCGUGGACUUCCGGCGAAAACCGAGACCACCAUGGAGUUCCUAUCUUCGAGCUCUACGCCGUGGUGUGGUGGAUUGCGUGAAUCCAAUGUCGGCUCCGUCAUCUUCCCCAACUCCGGUGAGCUUUUCCGCCGCCAUUGUUCAUCUCUAGCCGAAGGUGAGCACAGUAUCUUGUUCGUCUCGUCGUUCUCGUUCCAUUUUGCCGUUCAUGCGCGAGAUCGGGCUUCGUUUUCGGUGAUCCCCUCUUUCUCUCUUUUUCUUGUUUCUGCAACCGUAACAGACCGUGCUCUGAUCGCCCUGCCCCUUCUGUUUCUGCUCGCAGGUGCCGCACUGUCCGCCGCCUGGCUCUUGGCCGAGCUGCCGCCCGCGCCUCAUGCGAGCGCCACCGCUGGGGCCAGCCGCCGCCGCCGUCAGGCCUGGCCGCCGGUCGGAGGUCCCAGGCUCGGUCACGAGAUUGACCGGAUGGGAGGAUGAAGAAGAUAAGCUGAGUUUGCAGAUGGAUCCCCGGAGAAAUAUGUAAUUAGUUAAACUUUUCUUGUGUCUUGGCAACUUUACAUGAAACCCCUCAAUCUUUUCGAUUCUUUUCAAUCUAAGCCGAGCCUCACACUUUUAUGGAUCUAACCUUUCUAUUUCUGUUAUUUGUGAGCACUAUUCUUGGUGUCUUGCAAAUUUUUCUUGCUCACCCCUAAGGUCUAUGGUUAAUUACGUUUAGGCCCCUACAACCUCGUUUAACCCUUAGAUUCCACGUUUGAGCUUCGUUUAACCUCGUUCAAGUUACGUUAGAUGCAUAAUAAUGUAAAUCACACGAUAGUGGUAAUGUUUACCUCCAUGCAUUUUUUUGAAAAUAAAUUUUAUGUUAAAUUGAUUAAUGUUUGAAAAACGAGUUCUUCUCUAAAUAAAAUAUAUUUAGUGUUAUACACUAUUUUUCAUAAUAAUUGUUAAUUUUAUUAAUGCCUACUUCAUACCCUCUUCUAAAUAAAAGUCAAUUAGGUUAUAUAUCGGUUUUUCAUAAACUAAACUUAAUUUGAUUAAUGCCUAUCUAAAUAAUUCUUCCAAUUAAAAGCCACUUAGAGUUAUACCUCGGCGUUUCAUAAAUUAAAUUCAAUUUGAUUAAUGUUUAUUCAAUUUGUUUUCUAAAUAAAAGCUACAUAGGUUAUAUCUCGAGUUUCGUAAUUAAAUGUUAAUUUGGCUAAUAUGAAUAUAAAUGUGUUUUUAAAUUAUAAUUUGGUUAGUUCAACCCGAAUCAUAAAGCUAUGCGCUUAGAUGUUUAUGUGUACUAUAUGUUUAAAAUAAAUGUUUAAUUUGCAUAAAUUAUACUUAAAUAUUUCUAAAUAAAAUUGGGCUAAGCUUUACACCAUCUUUUCUUAUGAAAAUAUAAAUAUGACUUGAUUAAUUCUAACUAAGGAUAUUUCUCUGAAAUAUCUUUACAUUGUUUUUCUCAACUAAAAUAAAUGAAGCUUGUAACUCUCACCUUUCUUUUAAAAUUCAAAUCUUUCGAUAGUUUUAUCUUUUCAACCAUAGUUCCGUUGUAAGCGUUCCUGCGUCCGCGUAAUCCUAGAAUCGAGCCAUGUCCUUUAGUACGCUCUUUUAAAGCCUGUCUUUUGUUUUGGUGCAUUGUUCUUAGUUGUACUUGUUUGUUGCUUGUAUGUUUGUGCCGAUGUUUGCUCCAAGUAGAAGGAUCGUUGUUCCGAAGUUUUGAAGAGUAAGAGUUUCAAGAAAGCAAGAAGCUAAAGAGUAGUAAGAGUAACUUUUCGUUGGAGAAAGGCAAGUAUCCCUAACCAUUCCUCUACCUAUGCUUUGUUAAUAAUAUCAUGAUAAUGUUUAAUCAGAACAUGGAGCGAGCACCUAGGAAAAUAGUGCUACCACAAGACUAAAUGGCUCUGAUCUUGGCUGAAUAAUUAGAAACUCUAGUCUGGGGUAAGCUUACCGAAAGGGCAAGAGGGGAGGCGUUGAUGGGGUAUAACACUCGCUCUCUUGGGAAGUGGGCUUUGCUAAGACACUGUACCCACUAGGGGACUGUUAUGCUCUGCUUCGACCUUAAACCUUAGCGGGUUACCACUUACUAGCGAAUCUUUGUAAAGGCCUCGUAGCGUCCCUAUGCAAUCACACCUCGGAAGUGUGGUAUGGUGCCUAGCUAGCACCGCAUGGUUAGGUUCAAAGUUCUUUGAAUUUUUACGCGACUUGUGGGUAAAGAUGUGCCACCUCUGCAAAGUGUAAAACUGAUCGAUCAGCCGUGCUCACGGUCAAGAGCGGCCUGGACCCUCACAUGAUUAAUUAAACUUAAAGAUGGACUUAAAUCAUAAAUUCUAGUUAUUUCUUGUGGCCUUGCUGAGUACCAACCAUAAGUGUACUCACCCUUGCUUACUGCUGCUCAGAAGAAGAAGUUGUAUGAAGCAUUCCAAAGAUGAUGCUGAGUUUUAGUCGUACGCAACCCCAGUCGAUUGCCUGUGAAGUUUGGAGCCUCCGUUUCUAGUAUUUAAGCUAUGUAUCUCUGAUGGUUUCGUAAGUCUUUAUUUGUUCUUUUACGUGAUACUAUUACUGUUAUUCACUGAUGAUGUCACUAUAUAUAUGAAACUAGAUUCUGGCAUACAUAUAGGUAGCACUUGGUUUUGUCCUUAAAACCGGGUGUGACACUCACUCGGUGUAGAGUACUCGGCAACUAUGCUAUUUUACUGCAGAAACCUUGUAAAAGGUCCAGGAACUUGGCCGUAUGGGGUAUGUCCACCGUAGUACUCCUCCCCACGGUCGGAUCUUACUAUUUUAAUCUUCAAACUAUGCUGAUUUUCUAUUUUAACCUUGAAUAUCUUGAAUUUAUCCAACGUUUCUGAACGUUUCUUAAUUGGAUAAAUGUAACCAUAACAUGAAUAAUCAUCUGUGAAUGUUAUUAAACAAUCAUAACCAUCCACAGAUGUCACAGAAAAGGACAACAGAUAUCUGUAUGAAUUAUUUCUAAAAUUUUUGUGCUUCGUUUGGUGUGUUUCUUAAUUAUCUUAACAAACUUUCCCUUAAUGCAGUCGAUGCAUUGCUCUAAAUCUGAAAAUUCUAAAAGCAGAAGAAUUGAUUCUUUAAUCAACCGUUCAAUUCGACCCCUUGAAAUAUGGCCUAAAUGGAAGUGCCAUAAUUUCGAAGAUAUAUUAUCAAUUCUUUUCCGCUUAUUUCUUACAUUCAUAGAUGAGGAGGCAUUCACAUUCUCAGCGCUUACAACAUUCACAUUAUCACAAAGUGAUAACAAAUAAAGCUCGUCUUGUCUGAAGGCAAGACCAACAAUCUUAUUAUUAAACUUGUUUUUACAUUGUCCAUUACCGAAAUGACAAAUAAAACCAUCAUCGUCUAAGCGCAAUACACUUAUUAAGUUUCUACUCAAAGAGGGUACAUAAAGAACAUCUCUCAGAUGAAGUACAGAACCAUUUGCUAAUUCUAAUGGGAGUUCUCCAAUGGCUUCGGCUUCAGCUUAGACGUCAUUUGCAACGUUAAUGCUUCUUUCUCCUCUUUGCAGGAUCCUCCUCAUAUGGAAUACCUGCAAUGAAUUUGCAACAUGAACAAUUGCACCUGAAUCAAUCCACCAAGUAGAUGUUGCAUAACUUAAAUAUAAGGACUCAUCUACGAAUGUAAUAAGGUCCUCACCUUUCUUACAUAGAAACCUUAGGAAUUCUACACAAUCCUUUUGGUAGUGUCCCUUCUUCUUACACCACUUGCAAGUGUCUUUAUCCACCACCUCUUCAUUGGAAGUCUGGCCGUGAGUUGUAAUUAACAGCAAAAGUCUCAAACUCUUUGGGUAGGGAGGUAAAGAUCAGAUGGACUACAAACUCAUCUGGGAGCUCCAUGUCCAUAGGCUUAGGCUUGGAAGCCAUAUUACUCAUUCUCAAUAUGUGAUCCCUUAUUCCAUCGCUAUUAUACUUCAUAGUAAUAAGCCUCCUAAUUAAUAAGAGUGCUUGCACAUGCCUUUGAAGAGCUAGUAUACUUCAUACUCUGGUAUUGCUCCCCUUAUUGCCUCCAAAAUGGAGCUCUUAAUCACUAUCAUGUACUUUAUAUUUCAUUGGUCCCACUUCACACGAUCAAGAUCGUACUGCAUUCUAAUUUGCAUGAUCACGCACCUGAGCAUUGAAAACAUCUUCGCUCUCAUUCUCAGCCCUCACGGGGUCCUUAGGAGCUAUACGAUCAGUCAGUGCUAGAUCAAUAUAAGAUAGUGCAAGCGCUAUCUCAACCUUCUCUCGUCAUGAGCUGUAAUUCCCUCCAUUGAGCGGCUCUAUGGAUGAGAUGUAGCUCAAAAGAUUACCUGAAAACAAAAAUUCAGAAAAAAUUGAGUCAAUUCAACGUUGGUUAAAUUAAAACAUAAAACUUCUCAUUAUUAGUUCCAUAUCACCGUUGGGUAGAAAUAGAGUCAACAAUGAUAAGAAAAAACUUAUUAGUACAACAAUUUUAUCAACAAUGUUGGUCAGUAGAUAAAAUUAUCAUACUCAGAAAUUACUUAUUUUCUGAUUAAUUUUCUCGUUGAUUCCGAUUUAAUUAGAUAAUAGACUAAAAACUUCAACUUAAUGCAUAAAAUUGGCAAAAUAAAGCCAAAAAUUCAAAUUAACUUAAUCUUAAUACAGAAAAAGCUUAAACUUAAUUUGUGAAUUUUACCCACAGGAAAAACACCUUAAAACUAAUUUUAUUUGAGCCACUAAUUCAAUUUCCAAGAACACGGCAAAAUUCACUGGAAAAAGAAAAAAAACAGAGGGCUCAAAUUCUUCUGUGCUUCCGGCCUAACCGCACAGUGGCCUGGUCCGUCUUGGCCCACGCCUGGCAAAACCGGCCCAGCAUGCACGACGCAAAAAAGCGGCCUAGCACGCGUCGCGGCCCAGUCUUCUCGACUCCCUGGGCCGAAACUUUACUAUUGGUCCGAUCUUCGAAGCAAAACGACCCGGCCUACCUGCGCGCUCAUCACGCUCCCGUGUCCCAGGCCGCAACCUAGGCCUGGGCUGGGAAUCUGCCUUCCUGCCUGGGCCAAAUCGCGGCCCAAAUGAUCUGCGUCGUUGAUCUCGAUCGGACGGUCGUCCGACGUUUUUGGCCGCUCAAAACCGCUCAUCGCUAGCUCCCGGCCGCAACCCUAGCAUCCGUGCGUUCCUUUAUCCACCGCAACCAUGCGCGUGCGAGCGAGUGCGCUAGUAACCGCCGGCGAGCAGCGGAGCACGAGUGAGCGCCGACAAGUGCAGCCCCGGCCCACAGCUUCCCUUCGGUGGUCCCUCAGGGAGGUGGCGGUGCCGCCGCCGAUCCCCUCGCCGGUGCGCGCACUCGCCCUAGGGUUAGGGUAUCAACGGCGGCGGCCAGCGAGUUGUAUCCGGCGGCCGUCGCCCAUUGAUUCGAUUCGAAAUCACCUCCUUCUAAAUUCUUUUGGUUACCAAUCUUCCCUGACUAGAUCUACAUUCUAGUAUGGUUCUGAUGCCAUUGAUAGAUUCGUAGGAUCUCUAGAUGAAAAACUAGCGGGUCUACAGCUUAAACUAAGAUUAAAACAAUGUGAUUCAUGUAUAACCAAGAGCAACAGAGGGAGAAAGAGAGAGAGGUAGAGUGCGCGGGUCACCAACCAUCAGGCUUGGAGGAGGAGCUCGCCAUGGCGGUGAUGACGAGGUGGGCGGCGGCGGCGCAAGGAGUUGGUGGAGCUUCCCGCCGGUGACAGCAUAAAGUAGAUCGGGUUCUAUGUUUGUAGGUGGGUCUGGUGGGCACGGCGACGGACUUGUGUGUGCGUGCCCCCAGCCCCCACCUCUCUUUUAUAUGUGCUGCGCGACGGGGGCCCACAACCACGAGUUGGUUGUGCGCUGCGACCAGGGCGCGAGAUAAGGGCUCCGACUCGGUCGUUGGACCGAGUCGGGGUUGAGAUCAAACUAACACUUGGUCGCAGCGGCGUCACAACAGUUGCCAUAGAUGGCUAAGAAGUUUUUUACCAAGCACAUAGGCAGUCUAGUUUACAUGUUCAUUGUUUUUUCUCUUUUCUAGCUUGUAACUGUAUGAUCGGAUGAGCUGUUUGAAGAAGCAGCUCAAACUUAGACAGACUCUGUUGAUUUUUUUUUUGAAAGACAAAAAUUAAAUUGAAACUCAUGGUUGUCAUACAAUACCCAUCUGAAGAAAAAACGCCACUAUUUCACAUUUUGAUAUUGCAAACUCCUAGCAAAAUUAGUCCCAUUCAAACAUGAUAAAUCUUUCCAUUUCAGGGCCGCAAAAAGCUGAAGAUGCUCGAUCUCACAUUUUCACUACUUUUGCGGUGAAAUUGACUUGUGAUUUCUAUGAACUGAAGGCAAAUGGAGCAGCUCGAUUCCAAUCUGGUGCAAGUGAGCAAGGAAGCCUACAUCUCAUGGAAGGUGAUCAAACAUCAUACGGGCUGUAAUGUUGGCUGGACAUUGUCCAGCUUUUCCGUCAACUUCUAGAGCAAAAACUGAAAAUGGCAUAUCUGUGUGCCACACUCACAUAGUUGUGCAUGUUCUCUGCACUUGUAAUGUUGUACAAAUGAAUUUGGUUCUGGCAGAAUGUUAGCUGAUUGUGAUGAUGUAGAUUUCCUAUAUAUUUAGCAGUAGCAGUUGUAACCUUCAAUCAACUGAUGACACAUUGCUUGAUGCAUUGGAGUAUUGGACUGUAUGUGCAGGAAUGCUUGCUCCUACAGAGAAUUGGAGCAAGAGCCUUGGGAAUCUGACAAGCAAGAAGCCAGGGCAGUGCCUUGGGAAUCUGCUGCGGGUGCAAGCAAGGCAAUCAGCAGCAAUGGUGGCGCCUCCUGUGGUAGCGCGAAGAGGGCUUUGAGGAAGUGCAGCCUGGGCAUCUUCCGCCUGCAAUCACUCAACAAACCAUGACAGUGGCCUACUCUGCAGCCGGCCAUGGCGGAUAGCCGGACGAUGGCUAAGGGAGGUGGACGAUGAAAAGGCACGUCCUAGCUGCGAUCGUGACGGUGGGAGGUGGACGAUCAAAAGGUGCGUCCUGGUGGCGGGAGGUGCCGGAGGGCGCUGCGUCGCUGCCGUCGCCUAUCACUGCACUUGGACGCGGUGAAUCACGGGCGUGCCUCCGCUCCUUGCGGCGUGAUAGAGAGGAGGCGGUUAGGAAACUGGUGCUAGGGAUUGAGCGGGGACGGGCCAGUCGGUUCGGAAGGCAGGAAGGACGCCGGAGUCGGGUGGCGGAGGACGGGCGUGAGGAGACGGACCGGAGAUGAACGGCUACGGAGAAGAAAGGCACGUCUUUGUAAAGUAGUAGGGGCUUUUCUGCCAAACAAUCGCAAUCCAAUCUAGAAGCAUUUUGUAGUAUUCGAUCGCGAUUAAUAGUUGCGAUCCAAACCCCCUUGGUUUGUAAAACAUCGUGCCGGCGACAUGGCCGCCGCCGAUGCCCGGCUGCCGUCGGCGACCCCCGCCGUGCGUCAUGCGCCGCCGUCAUGGUUGCCAUCAACGCAUCUGAACAAGAAACACCACCAUUUCACGUUUCGGUGUCGCCAACAAACACGCUGAUGCCAUGCAAAACGAGCUCACGCAUGAAUCUGGUGUGUACUCAUGAUGGAUGAAUGGUGAAGAAAACUUGUUGGAUGACCCGCACCAACAAAUGCAUGCUUACAAGGUGUAACACCCAAAAAUUUAAAGAAUUUAAAUUCACUAAAAUUUGCUCGAUUAGGAUGUCAUUUAAAUUUCUAGGCAUUUAAAUUUGCAUUUUCUCAAAUUAAGUGAAUUCACCAUAGGAGUUUAUUGUGCAUGGUGCAUAAUUUUUGGUUGCUUGUGUUUGAAUCAAAUUUAAUCCUCAAGUUCAAUUUCCAUUUUCAAAACCUUUCUUUUUCUCCUUUCUCUUUCUCCUCUUGGGCUGCAUUCUUCCUCCUCCUCCUCUUUCAGCCCGGCUCCAAUCCCCUGCAGCCCAGCGCCAUCAGCUCCACCAGCCUGCUCUACCUUUUCCACCGACCCACUCCACCUUUUUCCUCGGCCCGCGAAGCUGCGCUGGCCCAACAGCUGCGCCAGCACGUCUUCCGCCCGUGGGCACCGACAGGUGGGCCCCACCAUCGUCUCCCACCUCCGGCCGGGACUCCUGCUUCGCCCCGCAACUGCCGCGUGAGGUCUCCACUUGGGAGCCGCCUCCCGGCCGAUUUGAACGCACCCAGUCCCUAUCCCUUGACGCGCAAGCCACUGCCUAUUCGCCCCUAUAUAAGCGCCCCCCCCGGCCUCAGGCAUCUAUCAGCAACAACCCCGAACCCUAGUAGCGCCGCCACCCAAGCUUCGCGAGCUCGCCGCCGCAAACCCGUCACCAAAAGGUGAGCUCCGCCACGCCAUGUCUCUCGCCGAAGCCCCAAACGAGUUCGCCGCGUGCCCCUCAUGCUACCCGUGUUCCUCGCGUGUCGAACCGUGGCCGGAAGCUCGUUUUCGAGCAACUCCAGCGAAUCGCCGCCGCUUGCAGCCUGAACCACCGCCGCUCGCCGCCCGUUCCGCUGCCGCCGGCGAUCGCGACUGUCGGAUCUAGAUCCGACGGCCCUCAGUCAACCGAUCGGGUAGCGUACCGGUCAACCGCGCCGCACUGCUGCUCUUUUGUACUUAAGCCCUCACCUUUUCCGCAAAUCAACCCGCAGUCCAACCUAGUUCAAAAGUGAUUGUGUUUUGGUCCUAUUUUCUUUUGCUUAAGCCCCUGAGUUCCUCUAAAAUCAACCCUCCAUCCUAAGUUGCGUUUUUGCAUGUUAAACCUUCGGUUUAUAUGCGUAAUUAUGUAUAAGUCCUUGAUUUUUCGCAGUUUAACCCUAGAAGUUUUGUGUUCUCGUAGAAAAACCCCUGGAUCUUGUUUUAAUCAUAUCUUUUGCAUCUUAACUCCGUUUUUCGCGUUCUUCAUAUCCAAGUGUUUGUUUUAAAGCAUAGAUUAAUCUUUUGAGCUUGUUUUCGAUGUUUAAUUGUGUUUGGAGUACUGUUUUCUUACUUUAUGCCUUUGUUUGCUUGUAUGUGCUCGUGUGACGUGUGUAGACGUUCAGCAGUUCGAGGGAUUUGAAGAUCAAGCUUUCGAGGAGUACGAACAGAAAGAGCAAGGCCAAGAAGGCAAGUCGUGUCCUUGAUCACUAAUCUUCAGUCCUAUACACCUUUUCUUUCUUGUACUCAACAACUAUGCUAUGCACAUGAUAAGUUUAAAUUGAUGGGUCCCAAUUAAGGAUGACUAGUUUUAAUUACCUUUGCCUUGACCAACCAGGUUUACUUUUAUGUUGGGUAGCUCAUGCUUAGCGCUUACUUGGGAUAUGGUGGUUUAACUGAAUUCCAUGAUUAAUCUUGCUUUACUUCUGUUAUACCUUUCAUUAAUGCAAGAUUACAAAUGUUUAAUCGGAACAUGGAGAACCACCCAGAAAAACAGUGCUACCACAAGACUAAAUGGCUCUGGUCUUGGCUGAAUAAUUAGAAACUCUAGUAUGGGGUAAUCUUACCGAAAGGGCAAGAGGGGAGGCGUUGAUGGGGUAUAGCACUCGCUCUCUUGGGAAGUGAGCUUUGCUAAGAUACUAUACCCACUAGGGGACUGUUAUGCUCUGCUUCGGCCUGAAACCUUAGCGGGUUACCAGUUACUAGCGAAUCUUUAUAAAGGCCUCAUAGCGUCCCUAUGCAAUCACACCUCAGAAGUGUGGUAUGAUGCCUUGCAAACACCGCAUGGUUGGGUCCAAAGUUCCUUUGAACUUUUACGCGACUUGUGGGUAACGAUGUGCGACCUCUGCAGAGUGUAAAACUGAUCGAUUAGCCGUGCUCACGGUUAAGAGCGGUCUGGACCCUCACAUGAUAAUACUACCGAAAGAUGGACUUAAAUUGUUGUCAUUUCAUGCAUAUGUUGUUUACUUUAUUCAUGUUCUUGUUUAAUUUCGGGUGGUAUAAACUUACACUUAGUUAAUUGCUAAUAAAAUUUGACCAACCUAAUUAAAAGCUGACGCUGAUUUAGCCUUGACCAUACCUUAAUUGGCCUUACACUACACUAUUCCCCACGACUUGUUGAGUACCAACCAUAAGUAUACUCACCCUUGCAAAACCGAUGUUCAGACCAAGAUAACUUGGUGGAGUACAUUGACAACUUUGAGGAGUUCUAGGUGUACGGUUCUUCAGUCAGCUGCUUGUGGUGUCGUCAUCGUCUUCGGAGUUUGCUGCGUAUUUAUUUAAGUUCGUGCUUAUUUGAGACUUUCGGUCAUGUAAUAAAUGUUUAAUACUCUCUCUAUUCGCUUUAGCACGGUCUUUGUUAUUCACUUAUGUCAUACAUGUGUGUAACUUGAUCCUGGCGCACAUGUAUUGAAUGCACUCGAUUUUGUCCUUAAAAUUGGGUGUGACAUAAGGCUAUUAUAUAUACUCCCAAAGUCUUGGAUGUCACUGAGUAACAUGUAUUUCUCUUGCAAGCAGCUGUGCACAUUAGCCAGAGAACUCUGAAGUGUUGGAGGAAACCAAAUUACUAUGAUGAGUCUUGACUUGUGUAGCCAAAUGCAUCCGCCGUAACUCGGCAUUCUUAGUGGCCAUCUUCCGCCCGUUUAAAUCAUUUUUUCGCAGUUAUCUACUCUCAGCAGAGUAAACAAACCUGUUUAGCCAUCAGACACUUCUACAUAUGAUGGUACAUGUCAUUAUGGCAGGUGCCUUUUAUUGUAUCUAAGGUUGCAUUAAACAAUGGCAUGAAGCCCAUGGUAUCUAAUUGGUGCCGGCGGGUAUGAUGGAUUUCUGGUCUCACGGCUUGACGAACAAACUGGAGGAGAAACCCGCCAUUAAGCAUUUACUCCUGCUUGUAUGGUUUGGUUAAGUUUUAGAGACUUGAGCCAGGAAGUCUGAAGAUGCCGCUUCUUAUGGACAGGAGAUAUUCAUACUCACACUUCCGAGGUGCUCUGAUAUAACAGCAUAAUUUUCGUAGGAUAAUGUUAAAUGUUACAACCUUGCAUCAAAAAUGAAGAUUUGAUGAGCGCAAGUAUGGAUGCACAUUUUCUUUUCAAAAACUAAGCCCUGCAUGUGGUGUUUUCAUGUUUCCCAUCAUAAAAAAGAAAAUAAAAAUAACACGAGAAAUUGAAAUUAAUUUCAAGAACAUUCAAAUUUUGCGUGAAUCAUUAUAUUUCAUGGUCCAUGUGCUCUCAUGAUUUUUACGUGAAUUGGCAGCAUAAUUUCUAAUAGCUAGGGUACAAUACCAAAACACAAAAAAAAUGAAAUUGUUUUCAAGAUUGGUCGACUUUUCUGUGAAUCAUUAUAUUACACGUGCCAUGUGUUUCUUCUCAGCGUGGUCUCAUGAUUUUCGACAAGCUAAACCUUACAGGUGGUCUUUUCUUAUUUCGUGUCAUAAAAAAGAAAAUAAAGAUAACGCAAGAAAAUGGAAUUAAUUCCAAGAUCGGUUGAAUUUUGUGUGAAUCAUUUACAUGCACAGAUGUGCCAUGCGUUUCUUCUUCUCAGUAACAUGGUGAUCUUCUGAUCGCUGGAGGGAUUCCUUGCUGCGUGUACACACAACACAAGACCACCAGUUCACGCAGUCACCAUUGCCAUUAGCAUGGUUCACCAGUUCACGCAUGCGCGCAACUGAUGGUGCAGGAUGACCAAGGAGGCAUGGUUUACUAGUUGCUGGGUCUUUCUUUGGGAUUUCAAACUUCAAACUACUUUUUCUCCCAAAUCAAAAAUUUAUUUUUGAAUCCGUUUGAACCACUAUCUUGCUGAGAAUUAAUGUAACAUAAUGAGAUCUAAUAUGAAUAUAUUUUUACUAUUUUUAAAAAAUCAACAUUUUGGAUGAUCUAUCUCAACAUUUUAAGUACGCUACUUCAACAUUUUUAAUCAAAUAUUGAAAUGGAUUAAUCAAAUGUUGAAUCUAAUAUUUAAAAUGUUGAGUAUAUUAAUUUGAUAUUUUGAAUAUAGGAGGUCACAACAAAAAUCUAAAUAACAGCGCACGUUGCCUAUCCGUAGGCCUGUACCCUCCUGCAUGCUACUGGCUGGCCUCCUCCCUCAUCCCCCGCUGGUGUUCAGCACGAGAACGCUUUGAAGAGCGGCGCCGGCGGCAGCACAAACUUGGGAGGGACUGUGCGGCGGAGUAUCAACCAUCACCUUUGAUCUGAUCUUCAGAGUUCAGUCAUAUAUAUAGUUCAGUUAACUCAAUGGUUAUGCGUCUGAAGAAAAACCGCAAUUAUUUUACAUUUUGAUAUCUCCAAACUCCUGCCAAAUGCCUAAAUCCUUUUCAAACGAUGAUAAAUAUUUUCUUUUUUUUUAAACGAGCCAGCAAGAGAGCUGCCGCUAUAUUAAUAUAGAGGAAGAGCCUGACGGGUAGGAAAAAAAGGUUCUAUACAAACUGUACACUCGCAUCCCAGAACAAGGGGAGCCAAAACUCCGCUAUGUCAACUAAAAAAACUAAGGAGAAGGAGGGAGUAGCUCCUGCAAGUGUUUAGCCCCCGCAGCGACCCACAGUGCUGUUUGGCUCUUGAUGCCAUCAGUUAUCUGAGCAAGUGUCAUUUCUUGCCGUUGAAAGAUCCCGCGGUUCCUCUCUAGCCAAAUCUCCCAGAAGACCAGCAUGAUAAGGGUCCGCAACCCUUUUCCACCACCCCUCGGGGUAGCAAGAGUAGCAGCCCACCAACUAUGUAGAGACUCGUACCUGUCCCAUCGGCUUGGCUCAAUGUUAGGGCAUUGAGUCCAAAUAUUGAUUUCACCCCAGACCCGCGCGUGAAAAGCUGCAAUCGGCGAAUAGGUGGUAUCCAGUCUCCUGAACUGUGUUACAAAGGGCGCAAGUUGGGUUGUUAGUCCAUCCCCGACAUUGCAGUCUGUCUGCUGUCCAUAUUCUAUCUUGAAUGGCUAGCCAGCUAAAGAAUUUACACUUUGGUGGCGCCCAAGCUUUCCAGAUAAGGUCAUCUAGGUUAGUAGUCAUGGACCCUAUGAAUUGCACUCUGUAGGCUGACUGUGCAGUGUACUUCCCGCUCUGCGUGAACUUCCAUGUAAUGGUAUUCGGUAUACCCGGUGUAAGGUGGAGCCGGGAGGUCUCAACCCAAAGCCGAUGAUACUCCAUGAAGUGUUCAGCAGUAAACCCUUGAUGUAGCAGGUUUAUAUCUCUUAUCCACGUGUGGUUGUUGAUUGCAUCAUGAAGUGUCCUAUUUUUCCUUUUUGAGAUGUGAUAUAAAUUUGGCGCUAAGUCCCUUAGCCUUUGUCCACCUACCCAGCCGCUGUCCCAAAAAGAAAUCUUGUUGCCGUCUCCCACAGUGAUUUGUGUUGCCACUGCAAAGAGUUUGCGAUCCACUUGGGAGCACGGGAUCUCCUGAGUCGCCCAGUGUGGACCUUCAUUCAUCCAUUCCUGCCAAAGCCACCUUAAGCGCAAGGCCCUGGAGAAUUUUCCUAGGUGCAAAAUGCCAAGUCCGCCUCCCUUUCUAUGCCUAGCUGUCCGCGUCCAAUUCACUUUGCUUUUGCCACCUGUGAGCUGCUCUGUCCCUGCCCAUAGAAAGCUUCUUCGUUUAGCGUCGAUACUCUUCAUUAUUUCCUUUGGCGCUUUGAGGGCUGACAAUAAAUAGACAGGUUGAGCAGUCAGGACCGAUUUCACCAUAGUUACCCUGCUGUCAUCAUGUUUCUUCCACUCCAACCACUUAACUUCGCCGCAAUCUUGUCUAAUAGUGGUUGGAAAUCUACCGCCUUAAGUCGCACGGUGGACAACGGAAGCCCUAGGUAUUUAAUCAGGAAGACGUCCCUUCUUACUGGCAAGUUUUCAAGAAUUCCACUUAGUUGGACACCUUCACAACAUAUGGGGAUGGCGGUCAAUUUGUGGAAGUUCGUUUUGAGCCCCGUCGCUUCCCCAAAUAGUUCCAAAAUGUUGGCAAGAGCAUCAAAUUCCUCUUUUCUUGGCACCAUGAAUAAAGCUGCAUCGUCCGCAUACAUUGAGAUACAACACAAAGGCACUCUUCCGCGCAGCUUUGUAAAGAUGUUCAUGUCCGUCGCCAAUUCCAGAAUUCUUUGCAGCAGGUUGAUCGCAAUAAUGAAGAACAGUGGUGACAGCGGGUCACCUUGCCUCAACCCUCGGCCAUGCUUUAUUGGUGGGUUUGGGACGCCAUUAAGGAGAACGCGCGAGGAAGAAGUAGAGAGGAUCGCCGCAGUCCAAUCACACCAGCGAGUAGGGAAUCCUAGUCGAUGCAGUAGCAGUAAAAGGUAGUCCCACCGAAUGGAGUCGAAGGCUUUAGCGAUGUCCAACUUCAGAAAAACCGCCAGCACCUUGUUCCUAUGAUAUGUUCUGGCCGUGUUCCGUACUGACAUGAAGUUGUCAUGGAUACUCCACUUCUUAAUGAAUGCACUUUGGCAUUUGGAGACAAUUGAAUUCAUAUGGGGCUGCAGCCUGAGUGCCAUAGCCUUUGUGAUGAUCUUAAUGAACGAGUGUACGAGGCUUAUGGAUCGUAAGUCUUGGACGGUGUUCGCUCCCUCUUUCUUCAGGAUGAGUAGAAUGCUCGCUGUGUUAAUGAUUUGAAGGCUAUUGCAUCGGAGACAGUAGGACGCAUUAACUGCGGCCAUGAGGUCCAGCUUGAUGGUGUCCCAGCAUGUUCUUAGGAAAAGGCCUGUAAAACCGUCUAGGCUAGGGGCUUUGUCCCCUGGCAUAUUGCGGACUGCUUGUUUGAUUUCAUCUUCGGAGAACGGGGAGUCAAGGGAUGACAGGUCCUGAUGGUUGAGAUGAAGAAGAUCCCAUCUAAGAUCCACCACGUGUGGCUGGGGCUGCUGCAAGGUUGUUGUAUAGAAGUUUUGUAUGUCGGCUGCUUUUUCCUCGUGCGUGCAUGCCCAACCGUUCUCUCUUUUAAGCUUCUGAAUGUAAUUCUUGCGCCUCCUCGAAUUAAGUCACCGGUGGAAAAAACGUGUGUUGGCAUCUCCUAAUUUAAGAUUAGAGAUUCUGCUAGCUUGAUACUUACACGCACUCAAUUAUCGCCAGCCCCAUGACCCUUAGCUUUAGACGGCUCCGCAGGGUUUGCUCCGCCUCCGAAAGCUGACGAUGUUCCUGUGCUAUGUCAAAACGUAGAAUCACAUCUAGGGCCAUGUGCAGUUGCAUUCUCGCAUCUGAUAUGAGACGUCCGCUCCACUCUCUAAGAGCUACCGCAGUGGUAUGAAGCUUGUGGUAAAGUCUGUGAAAAGGUUCAUGAUGAGGGGACUGUGUGUUCCAUGCUCGUGCUACUGUUUCCUGGAACCCCGGGAGCAUUGUCCAAAAGUUCUCAAACUUGAAGGACCUGGGACGUCUGGGGCUGCUCUAAUUAGAGAGAAGGAGAGGGCAAUGGUCGGAAAGGGAAGUUGACAGUGCGUGCAGGAUGUGUGAGCAGAAAGCACUUUCCCAUUCCGCAUUAGCAAAUACUCUGUCUAAUCUAACAAGUGUCGGGCGUUGCCUCUCGUUACUCCAGGUGAAUUGCCUAUUUUGGAGAUGUAUCUCUCGUAGAUCGCUGUCAUCUAGUGCUUGUUUGAACAGGUUCAUAAGCCUCAAAUUCAAUUUGCUAUUGUUCUUGUCACUCGCUUUGUAAAUGAGGUUGAAGUCGCCAAGGACUAACCAUUGAGAGCCGCGUUGCGGUUGCUGCACUUGAAUUUCUGUUAGGAACUGAGGUUUCUCACUAUGAUGUGUCGGGCCGUAAACUACGGUUAGUGUGAACGUGUUUUCCAUUUCUUGCAUUGCAACUGUUGCUGUUAUGUGGAAAGUACCUAUGACAAUGUUUGUGAGUGCAACGUGGGAGCUGUUCCAUAGCAGCAGGAUGCCGCCCCUAGUUCCAUUGGGUCCCCCUGCCAGCUUGUGUGAAUGGCUGUCAAGUACAGAGCCUCCUAAGUAGCUGGCCGUGAAGUAGUCGAUAUUGCAUAAUUUUUGUUUCUUGAAGGCACGCAAUAUGGCACAAAGUAGAGGAGAUGGUCUCUCUUACUGUAUCUCUUCUCACUCUUUGGUUCAGGCCCCGCACAUUCCAGCAGAUGAUUUCAAGAUUCAUGGUUAGCUUGUAAAUCUCUUGUCCCCGUGCUUGUCCCAAGGCUGUUUGCCUCCUGGAUGCUUGCAGUGACACAGGUGCAGGCAGCACAGCAAGGGAGGCAUCUCACACAGGAGCUGCAAGCAGCACACAGCAGGUAGAAUAAUAGCAACAGAGGCAGCCAGAGCUUGGACAAAGCAUAGACCGGGUAGAUUGCAGACAUUCAAGAAGUAACAUAACACUGUUCAGGUUCACAGGUUACAUUCCAGUUGAGGCGAAGCAUAAAUGGGAUGACGGCUGAGAAGCCGCGAGUAGCGAACAUAGAUGAUGUGGAUAACAUGAUAGCUUGCAAAGCUCUAGGUGGCUGCAGGGUGAUCAUCAGUUGGCCGCCAGCGCCGGUGCAGUGGUGGCAGCAACCACCUCCACAUGGUUACUGUUAGCGCCUUCCCCUCCUCCUUCCUGAGCAAAUUCUCCCUGGAUGUCCUCGAUGGCUUCACCUGCAACCCUAGCCAUGGCCUCGUCAAGCUACUGGGCCACCGGAUCAUCAAGGUUAAACGCCACCGUCAGUGCUGCAAUGAUGUCUUGGGGCACCGGGCCUUGGAACAUGGCCAGAUAAUCCUGCAAAGCAGCCUCGAUGGGCUGGAGUUCAUCAGUUAGAAGCCCCAAUUUGCGACAGACAUUGUGUUGCGCUCUUUGAAUCAUCGGCAUCGGCCUGCGAUUGGAGAGCCUUGCACUGCGACGUACCGUCGACAUGUCAAAAACACGCCUUGGGUGGCGAAUCUUGGCCGGAUUGGCCUGUUGGCAGUGUGUGUGGUCCUCCAGCUGCUGCGUGUUGUCCUUCUGGCCUGCUCCCAUCGGUGAUAACUGGAGCAUCAGUGCCGGCCUGGUGAAGAAGGCAUCUCCCGAAGUUGUGCUGUUGACGUUAGUUUCAGCACCUUGAACGGCCGUCACCUGUUCAACCUGGGGAAUGUUAGAUAAGAAAACAUCGCUGUCCACCGAGGUUGGCAGCGUCACUUCUUGGCUUAGGCUCUGCAGGUGCACCUGGAGAUUAUUCAGUGCAGACUCCACCUCCUGGACGGAGAUAGGAUCAGCAACACCGUUGUUUGCACCCCCUGUGUCGUCGGUGGAAUUGAGCGCCAUCUGUUGAGGAACCAGGUCAGUGAAAGGAAGGCAACUUGGUGUGUGAGCAGCAGAUGCAGGCGAGGAAGAAGGCAGCAGUGAAUAUUCUAGGUUGCAGGAGGAAGACAAGUCAGCUUUGAUGCGGUCGAACACCUUUGAAACCUUUACCGUCGGCAGGCUGAAUCUGUCCUUGCCACACUCCCCGGACCAGGCUUCAUCCCCUUCAUACGGAAGGCGGAGAGCAUUGGUCAAGUUGAUCGCUUUGUUGAUGUAGUCGUGCAGGCUGGGCAGCUGGGGGGUGUUGUCGUCGGGCUUGGCAUUCCCGGAUUUCCUGCAGAGAUAAUUUGCAGCAGCCUCCUUCAUAGUGGAAGCGUGGUUAGCGAACAGGAACUGCAUCUCAACUGCUCUCGCGUCGUGGGUGGGGCCGAACAGAGAGAGCUGAUGAGGCCUGGUGUUGCUGGGCUGAUGAUGUGUGGUGCUGUGCUGCAGCUCUCCACAAUUGCUCCCGCCGCCCCAGGUCCAGCGCCUGGGUGAGCGGUUGCACUCGCGGCUGGAUUCCCCACCCGUGCCCUUCAGGGCGUCGUGAGCACGUCGAGCACGGUCGCCUCGCCCGUGAUGGCCACUAUCGUCGUUGUCAUCCUUCCUGCGACGCCAGACAUUCCACCUGCUCGAAGAGUGAUCGUUGUUGUAGCUCUUCCGCUGGCGUUCCUCCUUGCUAUCGCGCCGCUCAGUCUCCCCCGCCGCACUGCUCCGGCCAUGGUGAGAAUGGUCAGAGCGCGGGGGCAACUGUUGGCGUGCAGCACCUUCCACCGCCGGACGAGGCCUCGACUCCCCAUCAAUGCACCCAAGGUGCCAAGGAGCAAGCCGGCGGAUUGACGGCGUGCAGGACAUCCUAUCGUCAAGGUUGACGGACGCCAGGGUGUAGUCCUAGAUCUCUUCCAGGUGGAGGAUGACGCAGUGCUUGACGCCAUGUUGCCACUGUCCAGGCGGUGUCUUGGUCACCAGCACGUCCUCCAGCCUAGCAUUGCGCGCCCGGCCGGUGAACGUGAGCCAGAUGCACUUGGGGAUGGAACUUGGGUUAGCUGUCCAAGCCCAAAGGUUGAUCGUCUUCGUCUCUAGCGACUGUUCGAGGUUGGUGUCGAUGGCUUCGAGGGCGUAGGUGCCACCGAUGAUCUGCUCCGUGAUGUCGGCUUGCCAUGCAUGCAUCGGCACCCCGUCGAGACAGAGUUUGACCCGGAAGAGCAGCGCCGCCCCUUCCGCGUCACGGAGGCUCCUCCACUUGGUGAAGAAGACUUCGACACCAGAGCCUGCAACCUUCCCCUUCUGGAAUGCUUCGGCGCAGUGGCGGCUAUGCUUAAAUUUGAUCAAGUCUCAGGGAAAUGGCGUGAGACCGUUACCUCACCGUGCUGCAGCCUGAACUCCUCCUUGAUGGCGCGCUCGACAUCGCGAGGAUCCACUGGUUCCUAGCCUCGCACAGCCCAGGUGACUGCCGCCGUCAUCUCCCACUCGCGCAGAUCGGCGUUGAUGUCCCCCGUUGCUUGAAUCAAGCAAUCCACCUGCUCUGGCCUUGUCUCGGGGUCACCAAGCCAAGACAUGAUCGUCGAGGGUGCAGGCUUCGAGGGGGGGGUAGAUGUUGUCGAAGCGCCGCCUGUCAAGGAUGCGGCUGCUGGCGUGGCGACGAAGGCGGCUGCUGGCGUGGUGAAGGUGUCGGCUACUGAGGUGGUGAAAGUCGAGCUUGGCGACGGCGAGGGACCUAUCGAGGUUGUUGAAGAGGCGCUCGGGAAGGACAGAGCUUGGUGCAGUGGCCGGUGCGGAGGCAGCAGUAGCACCGAACGGGUUGGCGGCAGGACGCAGCGCGGUGGUCCGUGUCCAAGCAGACGAAGUAGCGCCCGUUUGUUGUGGCCCGGAAAGCUUGCAGAGUUGGUGAAGGCUGAAGCUGGGGGUGGGCACUGGCGGAGCGGCGUUGAGGAGCGGCCGGCCGGGCGGACUUGAAUGCUGCCCUUUCCUCCACCAGUAUGGCUGUGUGACGGGAGUCCAGCCAUCCUGAGGAGUGAAGGGGCCGUUCUUGUGCCGCUCGCCGGUCACCUCAGGCACAGCUACAGAGGCGGCGGGGCGACGGCCAUCCAGAGGAGUGAAGCGGCCGUCCUUGCGCCGCGCGCCGGUCACUUCAUUGGGCACGGUGAUAGAGGCGUCUGGGCGGGCGAAGAGUGGAGAAGGCGCGCGGCGAGAGUUACUGCGGACAGUGCGGUAGCUGGGCGAAGGGGGCGCGCGUCCGGGAGCGGAGUUACUGCGGCGGGUGGGAGAAGUAAAGGCAGCUGGUGUAGUCUUCGCAGCAGAAGUCAGCUUCGGCGCAAAAUCACCCAGGACAGCUUGCGCGUAGGAGAGGUGAGGCCGGGGCGAGCAGAGGCGGUGCGGCUCCUGCAGCUCCGACGAUACCUGCACGGCGGAUCUUACCUGAGAUGCGCAUGGGGUCCUGAGAUUCAAAAACUGGAAAGGGGAUCUGGGGAGAUUUGUGGCUGUGGAGAUCUGCUGAGAUCUCUGCGGUGCGGGGCGGGGCUGGAAGGAAGGCGACGGGCUGGUGGGGACGGCCAAGAAGCGGCCAAGGUUCUUGGCGCUGGGAUGGCACGGUGGUACGGCUUGGCUGCCGGCGGGACGGAAGUCGCCGCCGCCCGGGGUGAAGCGAGGCGUUUCAUUGUUACCCCUAUCAUGGCAUAGUUGUGGCAACAUAAAUAUUUUCAUUUCAGGGCGGCAAAAUCUGAAGAGGCUCACUGUAUAUUGUACUUUAGUGCUACUAUCAGUUCAGCACCUUCUUCGUUUCCUUCAGGUCACACCACAUUAGCACCAGCAAUCAAAACACUUACGCCUCGUCAGAUCAACUCAUGGCUGAUGAAUGAUCCAUGAACAAUUGUUGGAUGAUUUUGCAUCAACGGAUGCAUGCAUGCUUAUAUUACAAAGCCAGAAAAAUGCUCAAGACUGUCAUACUAUCAUAUAUAUACUCCCGUGGCUUGGAUGCCAUUCAAAAUGUUGCAAGAGGUAGAGCAACUUGUAGUUCUCUGUCGAGGUGUAAACGAGCUGUAUAUAUUGGGAGGGAGCUCUGAAAUGUUGGGCUAUUGGAGGUAACGAAAAUAUCAUCCCCAGCUUUGACCUGUGUGGCUUAGUUCAUUCUAGGUAACUCAGCGGGCGACGUGGGCAUAUGGCUGUGGUAUCUGGUAUUUCUGCUUGUUCGGACGUUUUACUGGAUUCACGGUAAGUUAUCUUCUCAUAGUGUUUGUCGAGUACAACUGAUGUAACACGUCUGACACAGUGUAUUGAAGGGGUCGAUCCUCUCUCAUUCUAAUUGAACUCCUGGAGAUAGCAUACCAGUAGCAAAAAUUCCUUCUUUUUCAAAUUGAACAGCAAAAACAAAAAUGAUACUGUGACAGAUAAAGGACUUUGCAGGAAGAGAGAUAUCAUCUGUCGUUCAGUCGUGGAACCUGCUGUGUUGCGUACUCGUCCCUGACAGAGUUCUGAAGUCGAACAACACACUUGUGACAGAGAGCAGAGCUCCAAAAGUCCAAAUUCAGAAUUUCAGGGUCCUCUCUUGAUUUCAAUUUUCAAUACAAAGAUGUUUCUUCUGAUCCUGCUAGUCCUUCUGGAGAUCUGAGACAGCGGCGGCAUAAGAAUUUGAACCCGACGGAGCCAUACACUGUACAAAACGUAUGGUAAUUGUAUGUCUUCCUUCCAAAGUUCCUCAGUCAGCCAUGGAAGAGACAGGGCACGGAUCAAACAGAAAACAGAGAGGGACAGACCCCGUCUCUGCUAACACUUGCCAAUCUCUGUGCUUUGCGCUGGUCUUCUCUAGUUUAGCCAAUCUUUUUUUUUUGGGCCUGAUGCUGCAAGCAAAACUGACUAAACUCGCAUUUGCGGAGUCGUGGACGAAGUUGUCUUCCACCAAUGUCUCCAUGAUGUGCUUCCUGGUUAGGGAUCAAGAACUGUCCUUUAUGACUUGAUCCGAUGCCUCGAUGGUGUGGUUAGCGACUUUUGCCUGACAGACUGAACUAUGUAUGAAGAGACAGUACUGACAGACGUUAACGCUUCAAAAUCAGAUAUGCAGAAAGCUCAUACAUUUUCUUUCUUUUUAAAAAUAAAAAGCUAGACUUCACAGGUGGCUUGGUGGUUGUGCCUGCGCGUGCCAAUUCCUUCGUUAGGCACCCAAUUUGCUUGCAUUCCCGCCGAUGAUUUGGCUCCCCUGAUAUGGGCUGUACUGCGCGUGCGCCAUUCGAGGGAAACCCAUCGGUUCAUCUCCUUUUCCAUUUCCUUCGUCUCACACACACGGCAUUGGCACCCGACAAACAAAAAAAAAUACUGAUGAGUGGUGACUCCGGUAUGCACCCAUGAUAGAUGAAUGGUGUACCAACAUUUGUUGGAUGACUAGCACUGCUUACAAGGAGUGUUCUAUAUAUACACUCACAUGCACUAUGCCUUGAAUAAUGACAUUCAAAAUGAUACCAGAGAUACAUAGAGUACCACGUGUGUUCUCUUUCAAGCACGCAGCUAGUAUGAAACAUUUGAGGAAACCAAAUUAUGAGCUUUCACUUGUGUAACGACUCGGCGAGGCAUGUGGGCAUAUUGUUCUUUACUUUUGCCUAUUCAAUCAUUUCUCUCACGAUCCACUACAAAAUCAGAGCCAACAAGAUGACAUGAGUGAUAAUAGCGGACAUGGUUACUCUAUCAUAGAUUGCACUAAACAGUACUGGAAUGCGUCCUAUGGUGCUAAUAGACAUGAUGUAUUAUUUGUUAAAAGAUCCUCUGGUUCUUGAAUAGUUGAUCAAUGACAUGAGUUUGCUACCUGGAUGUGGAUGAGAACACAAGUGUAGUGUGGUGUCUAACUGUGGUGCUAGCAUGACAUGAUCAUGGUAGAUGAAUGAUCCAUGAAUAAUUGUUGCAUGACUUGCAUCAAUGAUCAAUGGAUGCAUGCUUAAAGCAACAAUACCAAAGACUAUCACACUAUCAUUUACCAUUCAAAAUGUUUCAAGAGGUAGAACUGUAGAACAACCUGUGUAUCUUGCUGUAAAGAUGUACUCUAAAGUAUUCAGCUAUUGGAGGUAACCCAACUAACGUUACAAGCAUGUUGGAGCUAGCUCGAAAAGCCAUACGGGGAUCCGGGUAUGGUUUAUGAUGUUUCCAUCCGCUCAAAUUCUUGAGCAGUCUCUUUCGAGCAGAGUUUAUAUAAGAUGUAUGCCUCUGUUUGCGAAACACGAGUCUUUUAUUCACAUCAAUGUUUGCACAGGCAAGUUCUAUAAAAAAAAUAUUUCAUUCACAUCCUUAGUGAAAGAGACGUUUGCCGUUUACCAAUAAAAUCUUAUGGUCAUCGCCAAUGCUGUAUCUGUGACAGAUAAAAGUACACUGCAGGAACAAAUAGAUCCUCUGUGGCUCUGUCGUUCAGUCGUUACUAGUUCCUGAAGCGUUAGUGUAAAGAGACCGGAGAAGUAGUCGAGAUCGAGGCCGUUGUCUUGUAGUCGGUUCAGGCAGGCCCGAGGUCACAUUGUUGGCCCUGCUCGAAAAUGUUGCAAGAUGGGAUCGAAGCAGAUCAUUAUGCUCGAAAAUGUAUUUGCAUGGCUUUGUUCCAAAGUUCCUCCGUCAACCAUGCAAGAGUCAGUCUUUUUUUAGUGUGACUGAAUCUUGGCUGCAAGCAAAACUACAGCCUGCAGGCUGCAGGUCACACGAUUCACAUGACUGAAUGGAAGGGAACAUGCCUAAACAUCUGAGCUGUCGCCGCCGGCAAGGAGUGUAUCCAUUUGUGCAGCCCAAUCACAAAUGCUCGUAUGGGCUACUUUGAAGCGGCAGCAGCAAGACUGUUGCCGAGCACCAAAUGUCAUUCUUUAUCCGAUCUUCAGAAUUCGGUCAUGUAAUAAUUCAGUUCACUCCUUGACUUGAUGAGUGCACUCAAUCACCCAUGAUGAAUGAAUGAUUGAUUAGCAGUUUGCUGGAUGGCAUUGAGAAUAGUUUAGCGGCAUCAGCGCGUGGGGAAUAUAUAGUUUAGCGGCAGGGGCCCAGGACACAGUGCAGGGAAUCAGAGUUCUCGCAAAGAAAACCUUUCUCCGUAGAAUUGCUCAAAGAAUCGUAGAGAAUCACUUUCAAAUUGCAUUAGUAUGUCAAGAACUCACGAUCACUUUCAAAAACGGAACCGGAAACGAUGGGGAGACCUUGGCCUUGACCUGGAGUCGUCGACUGGAGACUGGAGUCAGCACGUGAGCGUGGCCCUCCUGGACAAGCAGCGGGGCCAGGAGCAGGACGUGCAGCGACCAGCAAUCAUUGAGUUUGGUGUUUGAGCAGCGGGGCCACUGAGCGGUGGUGCAUUAUUACCUUCAAUUAUUAAUUGCCUUCCCCUUCCCCUGCAUCCGCAUCCCAUCGACCUCUGCUUCGUGCGAUUCCAAGGCUGUUGCGAGCGGUGAGCUGUGUUGCGGCCGAGCAAGCUUGAAUCAAGCAACCUCGGUCCGGCGACGAGCGGCUGGCGGCGCGAUCCGGCAAACCAGUGAGUCCUAGCUGUCGCACCCUUGUCCUUCAAUCUUCUUCAUGCCCAUCCAUUCCCAUUAGGCAAUAGCUACAGCCUACGAAAAGGCAGGUCGAGCACCCCCAUCCGAAGGAGCCCAAGCGGCCAUCCACAAAGCGGUUCUCUCCAUCUGAAAUAAGCUGUUCAAACGAUGUCCCAAUUUACCUUACUCAUUGCUGUUGCCCAGGGACAAAUCCAUGGAGAUCGUGACAGGGGCAAUUCCAAGCCUCCUGCACAAGCUCGGUGAGUUGCUAGUUGGCGAGUACAAUCUGCAAAAGGAGGUGAAGGGAGGGAUCAUCUUCCUCCAAGCUGAGCUCGAGAGCAUGCAAGCUGCCCUCGAGAAGAUCUCGAUGACACCAGCAGACAAGAUUGACGACCAGGACAAGAUCUGGGCUAGGAGAGUGAGAGAGAUGUCCUACGAUAUAGAGGACAAUAUUGACAAAUAUAUCGUGCAGUGCAAGGGGAGGAAGACGGCCGAACAGCAUAGCUUCAAGGAAGCCAUUGAUAGGACCCUCAAAUGGUUCAGGCAGCCUAAGAUUCGUCGUAAGAUUGCUACAGAAAUCAGAGAGAUCAAGAGCCGUGUCAUUGAGGUGCAUGAACGGCGCCGCAGGUAUGAGGUCAGCCUUGGUGUUGAUAAGCCUGUAACUGUGGACCCUCGUUUAUUCGCUCAGUACACGGAGGUGAAAGAGCUUGUUGGCAUUGAUGAGGCAAGAGAUGAGUUAAUCAGCAAGAUUAUGAUAGAAGAGAAUGAAGUUCCCAAGACGCAAGGCAAGAUAGUUUCAAUUGUUGGAUUUGGAGGCCUGGGAAAGACAACUCUUGCCAAUGCAGUGUACAAAAAGAUUAGAGCACAGUUUGAUUGCUAUGCUUUUGUUUCUGUUUCUCAAACUCCUGACCUGAAGAAACUGUACAGCAGCUUGCUACAUGAUCUAAGCAAGAACAUCAAUGAUGAAACAUUGGAUGAGAGGCAGCUCAUAGAAGUACU
rnacentral:lncRNA from 1 species